rnacentral:lncRNA from 1 species
CCGAACCAAUAAACAAAAGUCUUCCCAUACCUGAGGGACCAGUGGUGGUAGAAAGGAGCCACCCGGUGGAGGAUACUGUGGUCAAAGGGCAUGGGCUUCAACUGAGCCUCCAGGAACAGGCGCCUGAUCUCCGCUGUGUUGCCGAGGAUAGGAUGGUAGCCGGGGCCCCGGAUGCCUUGCGCCGUGAAGUGGAGCUGUAGCUUUAAAGGGAUACAUAGAUUGGAGUACGUGAACUUUAAGAGGAGGAUGAGGAUUAGCAAGAGGACUGGAACAAGAAGCAAUAGCAUAGUUGAUGGAGGGAGGGAGGGAGGGAGAGGGAGAGAGGGAGGGUAAUGGAGACCAAGGAAGUCCACAGGGAGGAGUUGAAGAAUAUAGAGUAAAGAUAAUGAUAUCUUUGCGACCGUGAUCUGGAGGAGUAGAGCAAGUUGUGCAUCUUUUAAUAGAAAAAAGGUCAAACUUGAAUGUCAUGCUUUUUCUAAAUAAUUUGAUGGUUUUGAGGCGAAAUAUAUAUAUAAUAUUCUGGGUCCCCCAUGCCACUUUUUAAACCUAAUAAAAAAAUACUAUGCAUUUAGAUUGAUUGUGCAUUUCAACAGAAAUACACCCUUUGUAAACGACAAAAUUUCUUUACCAGGUCACUAGGUAAGCACUCAUUUAAAAAUAGUUUCUCAUUAUGUAUGAUCAAUUGGAAAUAAGGAAAUAAUAGAGUUAAUUUAUUUACGAAUGUCUCAGGAUAGGUUUGAUGAUUACUCCAAAUCGACUUGCUUGUUUUCAAUUUUUCGAGUGGAGCUCAAGUUACUCAAGUAUCUUAUUGACUAGAGCUUUGGUUCGCCAAUAUUAAACUCGAUUCAAUUACAGUCGAGUCCAAUUUGAGUAUUUUGAAUAUCAGUUUGAGUCAAGCUUGAGUCAAAAUUGUGAUAUUUGAUCGAGCUUCAACUCAAGUUUUAAGUAUUGAUGUAACGGCCAGCUCAACUCGAAUGCACCCUGAGAAGAUCUUAUUUUGCUGGCCCAAAAAAGACAUUUCCGUAUAUACCAAGUCUUGUGUUUAAGAAUUAAAGCCUUGAAUCUCGCUUUAUCCAUGAAAACGGAUUGGAUUUUUGCUAGACUGCUAAUGAGGAUUGACCUACGCAUGAUGAUGACAGGGGAACAGAGUAAAUUUUUUUUUUUUUUUUAGAGAGAGAGAGAGAGAGAGAGAGAGAGAGAGAGAAGGUUUCUUUGGGGUUUAUGUGGUUUAUUCCUAAAAGUUCAUCGCUACUAAAAAUGAAUGAAUGUAGCUUUUUGCAAGUUUUUAGUAGCCAUUCGUACUCUUCUCCCACCCGAUUAGUUGGGUACCCCCGUAAAUCCACCUCAUCGGGGCAUGUAAAUUGCGCUCACAAACACGAGAGCAACUAAGAGCAUCUUCUAACUUUGUUUAUCCUGUUUUGCCACAUCGGUAAAAUAGAUGUUUAAUGCAACUUUCCAGCAGCUAAGAACAUUUGCAUAAAUAAAAUUAGGGCAGAACCAACCAAAAAGUUUAAACUAAUAAGUGGAGGGCGACCACAUGUCUAUUAAGAGCAUUGGAUUCACUUGAAAGAUGAUAGAACCUAACUUUAAUAUCAUGUUAAAAAGUCCAACUUAAAAGUUUAAGUUGAUAGGUAAACGAAAAUCCCCAUACAUAAAGAACAUAAAAAUCCAUUUCUAAGUAACGUGAGAUAUUUCAAUAGAAACUUUCAAGGUAAUGAGAAGUGAGUCAAGUUUCAUGAUGUAUGAAAGGAGAACAUAAACCAAUCGGUUUACCAUCAAGUACAAUGAGUGGACAUUUUUAAGUGAGGUUUUCAUCUUCGAAUCAAUUUAGGGCCAAAGGAACAUUGUUUCUGCACGCUUUUGCUAACUCCAUUUCCCAAUGGUCCAUGCUAGACGAUUCAUAUUAAAUUAAUGCCAAGCCAGAUUUUUCUGAAGGGGAAAUUGCUAACUUCAUUCAAGUAAACAGUUUUUAAAAGUUACGACACUUAAACAAUCAAAUAUACAAAGUGAGUGGAACACCAAAGUUGCAGCAUUUGUGCUGUCAUUUUCAUGAGUUCUUCCUAAAUCAGGAAGGUUUCAAUCAAAUGAGCUAUGACUUAAAUUUCACUAAAAUAAUUUUAUUAGCACUUGAUGUAUUAUAAGAUGAGAUCAUACAUAAUAUAGUUAUAUUAUACAGUGUUUGGAUGAAAUAGAUUAAUUAGUGGAUUAGGUUGUAUCUGAUGCAUAUCCCUUUAUUUAAUUAAAAAAUAUGAAAAUUAAUUAAUAAAUAAAAUAUAGCAUGUUGAUUAUAUAAAAAAUGUGAGGCAACCAAAAUUUUAGUUUAUCAUCGGUAGGGACACUAUUGUUGACAUAAUAACCUCCAUACAAAAUGCUGACAUGAAUAGAAAAUGGACGAUUCAAAUAGCAUCCGCUAAUAUCAUUGAAAACAUUGUUAAAAAUACUUGUAAGACAAGGUUUUAUAAAAAAAACAUGAGGAAGCAUCAAGAAAACAACAAAUAUUUUUUUGGUUUUAACCCUACGUCAUAGAAAGAAUAGGAAAGGACCCUAUUGAACUAUUUUAAAUUUAAAAAAUAUCAGUAGGCCUAGCUUACAAAUCUAUUUGAACUAUCAACGAAUUCCUAGAAUUUUAGGUAAGACAGGGAUUAUAAUUCUUUCUACUUCUAGGUAAUCUGCCAUAAAUCAAGAGGUAACUUAUGCUUCUAGCGUGUCCUUAAACUAAAUUAUGAUAAUCCCCUUAAUGCUUUAGAACUAAAAUCACGAAUCAGAUGAUCUAACCAGUCUUGAUGUUUGUAUGUUGCAGCGUAUACAGACUAAGAAAAUCCAAACUAAUUAUUGAUGUCAGCAAGAACAUGAGAUUAUUAAGUGACUUCACCACCAACUGCAGGCAUAGUAAAAAACAAAAAAGAAUAAAUGAAUCAAUGAAGCAAGACGCAAAGUACAAUGUAAUGAUCGUUAACAGAGUUUCCCACAGUAAGUGGUUAAUACACAAGCAUCCGGAGCCUGAGCAUGAAUUUCACUGGCAAUUCUGCGAAUGGAAUCGUAAUGUUCUGAAUUCAGCAGCUGAAAUCGAUCAUGACUGACAUGAGGUUCCUUUUAUCUUCGAUCAUUCUUUGCAUGGUAAGUAUUGCCAGCUCAAGAUCUCUAUUUGCAGAUGGUCCUCUGGCACAGUGCUGCUGUUGCAUGUUAAAUUGUCUUUGCAAAUAUACAGGAUCGUUGUGAACAUGCCAAGCAAAAGUAAUACCGGACCGCGAGACCGCAUGACAGCAUGGUACAGCAUAUGAUACAAAUCGUGGGUCUGAGAAGUGUUCGUCGGAUUUUGGAUGGUCAGCUCUUGCGAAGGAAAAGACCGCACCUCACGCACGUUAGUUUGAAUGAGAACCUAGCGAGACAAAAAGGCUGAUCAAUGACUAGUUGCAAAACUAUGUUCUGAGAUUAUAUCGAGGUUUCAGCAUGUUUAAUGAAUACACCAGUCCGAGGACUGGUGUAUACCAAAAGCACGCAAGCAAUCACAGAUUUGCAAAACUGUGGGACUAAUAUUGUAUUGAAGGAGCCACUUGAAAUGCCGAACCAACGCACUAUACCACUCAUAUGUCCCAUGUGAACGCUCGUCUUAUAAUCUGUCACCUUACUUUAUACCUUAUUUGCCGACCGGCUAUAGUACUUCUAACAUCAGCCACUUUUCAGAUAUUGACUCGGAAAUGAUUUCAUACGAGGGACAUUAUCAACUCGAGAAAGGUUCAGGUGCAAUUGAGCUUCCCCUUACACACGGUCAUUAUAUCGCUGUUUUUAAUUAUCGCGUGCGUAGUUUAACUUAUAGACAUUAUGGAAGAAAUCCUACGUCGACUUAACCUCUCUUCCUCCCUCCUAUUUAACUCUCCUCGCUGCCUCCACCACUCCACCACCUUACCGCCGUGCCGAUUGUUAAAGAAAUAAAACAGAUAUUAAAAGUACAGAUGAAUGAAGAAGCUGAUGAUAGUAGAAAAGCUGAACCUGAGGAAGUUACUGAGGCAGAGGAAGCUGAAGCAGAGGAAGGUCGCAAACUUCUAAACGAAACUCAAAGUAGAAAAGAAGAUGAGCUGGCGAUCCUGAGCUGAACUGAUGAGCUGGCGAUCCAUGACAUCAAAACCUGGAAUACAGAAGCUGAUCAAGCUAACUGAAGGAGCUGCACAACCAGAGGAAAUGCACGUGUUUCUCAUUUUAGCUAUUCUGUUGUAACAGUUCUAUAACAGAAGUUGUUAAACAAGUGUUGAGUAUAAAAGGAUAAGUGAAGGAGAGAAGAGUUAAGUGUGUUAGUUCAUUGUUUUUCCUUCUGAUUUUCCUCGAUUCAUCUUUAGAUUUCUCUCUUCUACUUCUGUAUUCGAUAAUGAUUGAAGUCAUGUAAAAGAUGAACCAGAAGUUUUGAAGAAGAAUAUCAGAGCUGAGGUAUUUCCAUUGAUUGUUCAGGUUCUACAAUUCUCUCAUACACAGGUCAUGUUCUAUCUUCCAUUUCUUCUCACCGAUCACUGCUUUAGAUGUCGACAUUGCAUUCACUGUACUAGUAUAUGACCACCAUCACAGAAUCCCCGGCUAAAACCAUAGAUCGGUGGGGAGAAGAAUGGAGGAGCCAUGAUCAUGGUCCAUAUGAAAAAAGAGAGAUUAGGUGUCGUCCCCAUUCUUGUUGGUUUUAUAUUUUUAUAACAGGUUUAAGUCGUUUUAUGUCUAAGGCUGUUCCUUUCAAGUAGGAGGACAAUUUUGUCAUUUCCAUUAUCUUUGUAGGAUUUGGGAUGUGACAUUAGGAUAAAGAUUGGAGAGGAUAGAAUCUUUGUUGGGAGCGUUAAACCCACAUUUACUUAAAAGCAAGCUUAAACCAAUAAGUCUCCCUCAUGUGUACCCUAAAACCACAUUGGUAACUAGGUUACCAUUUGUUACUUUGAUAUUAUUUGUUGGAAGCAACCACUGGAUUUCUUGGUAGAAAUCCAAUAUAUUUAUCCAAAGAAAUAUAUCUAGUUGGACUCAUCUUUACUAAAAAUUUCAAACCAACGAGUUAUGAGCAACUAUGAUUGUUAACCGAACCACACCACAUCAACUAUCCAAUAUAGGACUUUCCUAACACAACUCAAUAAUAUUAUCAUCACGUUUAAAAUUAAUGUUAGGAUUACUCCCCUUUCGGGUAUCGUUACACAUGAGCAUGUCUCCACUUCAGUUUUUUUGGGGAAAGUGACAGAAAAAUAAACAUGUUGCAUUGAUGAUAACUUAGCCCUAAACUUUUUAUUAGUGUCAAAUCAAUUAUAAACCUUUUAAACUAGCGUCAAUUCAGUUCUUCUGGCUAAUUUUGACCUUUACGUGGCACAUUUGGCACUAACGUUGAUAACUUUUAAUGAUUUUCAUUUUUUUCAAAAUUUAUUUAUUUUUAUUUAUUUUUUCCUUUUUCCUUUUUCCCGUUUUUCUCCUUCCCUUCUUCCCUCAACCGGAAGGAAGAAGAAAGGACCAGAGAAAAAAAAAAGUGAAUAGAGAGAGACAGGGAGGGAGGGAGGGAGACGAAUAGAGGUGAGGAGUGGUGAAGGCAUGAUGGUGCGGCGUGAUUGUGCGAUUAUCACCAAUUUCGACACAUCCCACUGCUUUGAAACCAUAAUUUGGAAUGUAAACAUACUGCCAUCGCCACCGCCACCAUCAUGGGCAAUUGCACAACGAAGAACCAGUAGUGGAGCACCUAAAGCUUAGAAUUGACCGUAUUCGAAGUCACCGACAUACUCUCCCAAUUGAGCUUAGGCCGGGACAGAGCUAAGGCAAUCGAGAGCUCCAAGUUGAGCUCGCUUCAGCUGUGGGCUGGCCGUCCAUUUCACAACGGCUUCUACACAAAGCAAGGAACAAAGUUAUUAGUAACUAGCAAGUACAGUGAACGAUAACCGAAAUCAACAUCUUGAUGACCAUAACAUGUAAGAUGAUUAGCAAUGAUUGGACUGCCACGAUAGAAGGGAAUAUUUGGUCAAAAAUAUUUUAUUGCAUUACGACAAUACUGAGAUAUGAUUUAUAAGCACACCCCAUUUGCUAAUUACAUUAUCAUCACAUAUCCAAUUCUUUUAAGUCUUUUAAGUCAUAACAAUUUAUUUUUUUUGGCAAAGUGAAAUAUUUUUAUUUAACUAACUAGAGAAAGAUAAUACUUCUAUACAUAAAACAUCCCAAAAAGCUUGGGGAGAAGAUAAGACAACGUAUGAUAUAAGAUUACGUUUGGUUGUCCGAAUUUCUAAUCAGGAUAGGAUUUGAUAGAAUAUAAUAUGAAAUCAAGAAUUUUACUAUAUUCUAUCCAUUGUUCGGUGAUUACAAUAAGAUAUAUUUAUAUCAUAUCAUGUAUAUUAUUUGGUAUAAAUGGUAUAUUAGUAUAAAUGAACCUAAAAUUUUACAAAUGGAGAUAGUGAAAAUUUUCACGACACUUUUGCAAACUUUAUUUUUAUUUUCUUUUUAUAUUUUACUUUCAUCUCUUUUUUUAAUUAAUCUUUUUGCUAUUUCUUUCUUCCCAUUCUAUCAUUCUCUAAUAAAAUUUUAUUAAAUAGUAAACUAUACUAAUAUAUCUAAAAUACUAAAAUACCUAAAAUAUGUAAUAAAUAUAAAUUUAUAUUUAUAUUUAUAUAUUGAAUUUAUAUUCUAAAAUAGAAUUAAAUUCAAAUAUAUAAGUAAAAGUAAGAUUAAAUUAAAAUAACUAAAUUCUUAUUUUUAUUUGAAUUUCUUAUAUUAGAAUUCAAAUAUUAUGUAUAUACUAAAAUAUAAUUUUUUUUUGGUCAAAUAAUUUUAAUUUUGUUAAUUUUGUUAAUUUAAAAAGUUAUUUAUUCGAAAAAAAUAACUUUCCUAAUAUAGAUGUUAGAAAUCCUGUCCACAUUUAUCUCACCUCUCUAUGAAAUAAUUUUAUCCGAUCUAUAUUCUCCUUAUAUCCGACUUUAUUAUAUAUUGAGUAGACACCAAAUAUAGAAUAUGAUAAAUUUUAUCUUAUCCUAAAUUUUAUCCUAACUGCUAAACAUAGCCUAAGUGCACAAAUUUGAAACACCUGAGAAAUGGGCUAAACUUAGAACAAAGGAGUCACAAAGCUCUACCAAAUUACAGCACAUUAUUUUUAUGAUGCAAACACAAAAUGAAGUUUCUAUCUCAAGAACCCUAAAAAAUUGUCUUCCCUCACACUAUGCGACCAUGUUACAAACAGAAGUCCACAAACAAAAGGAAGAAAGAUGAACCAGAUAUGAGUCCUCCCGAAGAUGAUCGCGCCCCGUACUGAGGCUGCACGGCCACAAGAGGCAUCGGAGCAUGAACAUACGAAGGCAACACCUCAAAGGCGAAUCGCCUAACCAGCAUGGCUAGAACAACCUGAGCCUCGACCAUGGCCAAGUUCUGGCCUACGCAGGUUCUGGGCCGAGCCCGAAUGCAAGGAACGCGGCCUGGUGCUUCCGGGGCUUUGCGAAUCUUGCCGGGUUGAACUCGUCUGCGUCUUCGCCCCAUAUCUUGGUGUCGCAAUGCACAGAAGGGAAGGCCAAGUAGAGCUCCAUUUUUGCCGGAAUUUGAAGGUCUCCUAGCUGCACAUCUUUAAGGGUUUGCCUUGUCACCGUCCCCGCAAGAGAGUACAGUCUGAGUGUUUCAUUCAAUACUAUCGUUGUCUGUUCAAAAAAAGGACAGAAGAAAGACGUAUUGAGUGAACCCAAAAUGUUUAAUUUUUUAGUCAAGCUAAACUUUCAAAACUUAGGCCAAUGGAGUGGCGUAAUAGGUUAUUAGGAAAAUUUACAUAAGACAAAUGCCAGUUGAUAGCAGUGAGCACGUUCGAAUAGUGAAUUUAGAGCAUUAAAUUGACCCUAAUCGAAGAAUGAACCCACUAGGCGAUACCUUAGCUAUACCUAUAUAAUUAAUUGGGACCGCACCUCCAUGUAUAACAUAACAAACACUGGAAGAUAGUCUCCAUGUCAUGUACAAUUUCUUCUUAAAUAGGCAAGUGAGACAAUUCAAACUUCUUGCUUGAAUGUGCACAGAAGUUCUUCAUCACACAGGUCAAAUUAUUAAAUUACCACCAUCUCAUCCUCGGAUUGGUCCUGGGAUUUGAUGAUGGAGUUUCAAACCUUUUCUUCCAACUAAGAAGCUAGCCCAAGUUCGACAAACAAUGAUUUUUAUUCAUUAGAUAGCAAACAACCAAUGAAGAAAACUAAACGUGCCUAUUUGUAGUAAUGUGGCUAGUGAGGAAUAGUGAUUAACUUACAAUCUUGAGCUCGUUCAGAUUUUCAGCACCUGGAAGCCCGGUUUUCCCACAGACGCGGAUCACUUCUUCCCGGGCCUUGUCCUGCCAUUCCUGGUGCUUCGCCAGAAGGAGAAGCGCCCAAGUGAGGAGCGUGGCCGUCGUUUCUUUUCCCGCGAAGUAAAAAGUCUUGCAUUCGUCUAUGACCUCCUCCAUUCCUAAUCUUUCUUCUUCGUGGGAUGAUGUUAGGAGAGUGAGAAAAUUGGACAAAUUCUCUCUCGAUUUCAAGUUGUUCUGCAUCAGCUUCCGGACCGCGUGCCGUAUUUCCUUCUCUAGUCUCCAUCUCUGCCCAUUCUUCCGAGUCGGUAGGAACCUACAUAUUGAGUGGAACAUGUGAUCAUCUAAUCUUCAAUGGAUAUGAAGACUCCAGGCAGAGGAAGAGAGGUAAUUUAGGACUGCUCUAAAAAGUAGAAAGGUAAUGAUUCGUGAUUAAACAAAAGACACAUCAUUGAAUCGUGACUUUUCCCAAAAAUAGAAUCAAGAAAGACUUUUCCCAGAAAUAGAAACUGAUAUUGCUAGUAUAAGUACCUAGAGGGGGGUGAAUAGGUAUAUAAAAGAUUUUUCUUCGAUAAUUGCACAAUACUAGACAGUUGAUGGAUUUGAGACAAACGAUAAUCAAAGUAAGACUGAGAGAAGAGAAAAUUGAACACGCGGUUUAUAAUGGUUCAGCUUAUAUCAAGCCUACGUCCACUCUUCUUCACUGACAGCCUAUUAGCUGGAUUCCACUAUGAACAAGAGAGAAGUUACAACAUAGCUUUGCCUUGAUUCCACAGUGUAGAUGUUCUACCACACCUCCUCAAGAUUUCUCACACAUAUAAACUCUCUUUUGUAUACAAGUAUUCGCUCAGAGUAAUUGUCUAAACAAAAAGGAGCUUCAGACUUUGGAAUUCUUCCAUCGCGCACACCUUGAACAACUAAGACCGUCUUCCUUAUAUACUCAUUUAUGCCAUCAUACCCGUUGGCACUUACCAAAGGAAUUCCUCCAAUCUACCCGUUGGACGGAAUCAAUUAGGAAGAUUGUUCGAGCUAUUAAAGGAACGUGUCGAUAGCCCAUCAAUCCUGUUCGCCCAUACAAUCAGGAUCUCGGUUUCCAUAAGUAGAACCUUCCAAUAAUAUUUAGGCAAUCACCGGAUCUUCAAUUAUCGAGUCAAUCUUCGAUCAAUCAAAGGACUCCGUUAUGUCUUUUCCAGCCAUGAGAUCUUCUCCAGUUGAUAAGGUUAAAUCCUUAACGAAACAUCCAGUUCUGGAUAACAUUUCUUCAAUGGAUUAGAGACUGUCAAUGAGGAUAGACUUUGAGUCUUGAGUCUGGCUGUCCGGAGGUCUUCAAACUUUAAAUAGCAGAGUCUGCAAGCCUUCAGACUAGACUGAUGGAAACGUUUUGUCAGCUUCAAAACACUUCAAGAAGAUUUCUCCAACAAUCUCCCCCUUUUUGAUGGUGACAAAACUUUCCUGCAGAUUUGGAUAACUUUGACCUGUAAAACAUUUCUCAAACACAUAUGUAUAUCUUAUAGAGAUAAAUGGCUAAAUGAAUAACGCUAGAAUCUGCAACCACAGAAAAUAGGUUAGUCUAGUGUACGAUAAAGCCAUCCAUAAGAUAUAAAUACUAGUUAAUAGAAGCAGUCAAGUCCAAGUCUAGUUCAGUUCCCAUCCAGACACAAAACAAAGUCAUACAGAGUUCAAACAACAAAACAAAUUCAACAAAAAGUUUAACAAUUGAAAGUUUGUUCAAAUCUUGCAUCUCUCCCCCUUUUUGUCAGCAUAAAAAAGGACUAGAUGAAGUCAAGAUUGCUUGGAAACACGGACAAGCUAGAAAUUUUCCAUAGACUGAACGAUGCCUUCCAGCCUUUUAAAGUCUUCCUUUAGUUGUGCAAUCUCUUCACCCUUGGCAUUGGCCUGAAUCUGAACAGAGAGGGCUUGGAUCUUAUCAUUCAAUGAACAUGAAGAAACUUGACCCGCAUUUUGCAAGUUUCGAACCUCACAACCCAAGGCAUAAAUUUGACCUCGCAUCUCCAAGAGAAUAUCCAUGAUUCUGCGAAAAUCUGCUGUAUUAUCAGUCUGAGUACUUGCUUCAGCCCUAUCUGAUGGAGUAAAUGCAGACGAUGGUAGAUCAACAUAAUCUCACAGGUUUGGCAAUGAGACUUCAUGACCUUCCUCUGGAAACUGAGCGGCAUAAACAUCCUCUGGGUCUGCAGGUGAGCGACUGACUCCUUCACUUGCAUCAUGAUAUGAAGACUUCACUCCUUUCUCCUGAUCUCCCCCUGUUUCCAUGCCUAUAGGUGGAGAAGAGUGUUCCUCAGGUUCUCUUUCUUCUCUUCUUUCUUCUUCAGGUCUUUCCUCCUCUGCUUCUUUUUCAGCUUCUCUUUCUUCUUCUUCCUUCUCCUCUGCUUCUUUCGUCAUUUGUUCCGAUUCUUUCUGUGGAAUAGGACGACUUAAAUUCUUCAAAGCCAUUGCAGAGAUGGUGAUGUCUUCCUCAUCAUCUUCAUCCUCAACGAGGAGAGCUCUUCUUCUCUUGGAUGGAGCAACCAUGGGCUCCUUCCCUUUUCUUUUAGUUGCAGAAGAGAUUUGAUGAGAUUUGGCAGGAUUUUUCUCCUUGAAUUUCUCCAACUCCUUGCUCAAUUCCUUCAGACGCCUUUUGGUCACCAUUUUCAGUCCUACCACCAUAUGAUCGCAUGGUCGAACACAAAAGAUUUGCGGAGGCUGAAUAUUCAAAUGUCUGAAUAACUUCGUAACAAGGCUUGGAUAAGGGAGUUGACCUCUGUCCUUCAUCAUUGCUCUAUACAUGUGAAACAUAACAAUGUGAGGGAGAGAAAACCUUUUCCCAAAGAGGAUGGCAUACAUCAGCUUGGCCUCUGAACUUGAAACAUCAGUCUUGGAAGUUGAUUUCGGUCGGAGGCAAUUAAUCACAAUCUUGUGAAGCAAGAUGUUGAAUGCACUCAUCCUUAAGUAGGUGAUCUUUUCAUCUGUUCUCCUGUCCUUCACCAGUUCCAGUGUGGCCCGAGCAAUGGAAACUUUGAUUGGUUGAUAUCUUCCUCUUUCAACUCCUAACACAUCUGCCAGCAUAUUCAUAUCCACAACAUAGUCAUGGUCUUUAACGCUGAAAGAGAAUCUAUUCGCAUAAAAAAAGCUAAGAUUUGAAUAGAAAUAUGCAGUUAAUUCAGCAUANNNNNNNNNNNNNNNNNNNNNNNNNNNNNNNNNNNNNNNNNNNNNNNNNNNNNNNNNNNNNNNNNNNNNNNNNNNNNNNNNNNNNNNNNNNNNNNNNNNNUCAGAGCAGAACUUUUCAAGUGAAGAUAACUGAACUUUUCCCUCAAUUCACAUUCACAGCAUCCAGAAAUCAAAAUCCACACUCCUAGGGUUUAUUACCCCAUGCUUCAGCAAUUUUGAGUACAUAUCCUUUUGUUCCUUCGAUCUGAACAAAUCUCCCAUUUUUCCUUGAUUUUCAACCGCAAUACCCAUUUUCGGUUGAAAUUGACUGUACAAUUUGUCAUCAUCAUUCCCAUCUACAGGAUUCGGCCCCCAGUCACGAGGAUCACUUGGGAUAUUCGCAAGGGUUUCUUCAACCACCCCUUUACGAGCAAUUCCCAAACUUUCCAUUUUUCGCAGAAAGAUAUAUUCGUUCCCAUGUCCUUUGUCUUUAAGAAAAUCAUCAACAUAGUUCAAAGGAGUACGAAUUCCUUUUAAGGCACGAUAUAGCUGGUAAAUAUAAGCAGGCUUUUGAACUCUUACAGGGUCUGCAUCCUCGAUGAUUUCUUCCUGUUGUUGAUUAUCAGCGCCUUGAGGACUAGAUGGAGGAGAAUGACGUUGCUGAGAGUGUUGUGGGCUCGGUUGCUGUUCUGGAGACACUUCUUCUUCAGUAAGAUCGAAGUGCGUAGGCCCCUCACUCAUUCGCCGUGGUCCCCUGCUUGCGAUUCUCGAAGACUUUCUUGAAGAUGACAUCUUUCUCAGUUUUUGGAAGAUUCCUUGCUUGACUUUCCCAAGAAAAAUGACAACUUUCUGAAGAUUAAACAAAGAAGACAAACGGUAAUGGAGGAUCGAUGCUUUCUAGGGUUUUUGAGAGUAAAGUGAAGAGGAAUCGACAGUGCACGAUCAAUUAAAAAGAGAGAUAAACGAACCGUCACAAAUGAAAUAAAAAAUAUGCCUUUUCAAAAUAACUGUCUUUUUCCGCAAAAAUAGCCAUUUCAAAAAUAACUUCCUCUUUGAAAAUGAAAUGAUGCAAUAAUUACGUCGAUUAAAAUAUAGCAACAAUUUAAACACAGUCUGACGAUCGUACCUUUUCAAGAUGAGAUUAAAGAGAGAAAGACUUACAGUCUGACGGUCGUACCAAGACUAUCUUACAGAUAAAGUCUUGUAAGUCUGAGUCUGAAAGUCUUUAGACUUUGAUAUCUUCAUACCUCAAAAUGUUGAGUCUGGAACGGAUAGAUUCAAAUUGAUAUUUCUCCAAAGGCUUUGUGAAUAUAUCCGCUAGUUGGUUCUUUGAGUCAACAAAUUGAAUUGAAACAUCUCCAUUUUGAACAUGGUCUCUAAUAAAGUGAUGUCGAAUCUCUAUAUGCUUUGCUCUUGAGUGGAGAAUUGGAUUUUUGGUGAGGUUGAUAGCGCUGGUGUUGUCGCAAUUAAUCUCUGUGCAUGAGUCUUUAAUUUCAAAGUCUUUUAGCUGUUGUUUUAUCCAUAGAAUUUGCGAACAGCAACUUCCAAGGGCUACAUACUAUGCUUCUGUUGUUGAAAGAGACACAGUGCUUUGUUUCCUUAAAAACCAAGACACUGUCCUGCUUCCAAGCAACUGGCAAGUUCCCGAAGUGCUCUUUCUAUCAACUUUGCAACCGGCCAAAUCUGCGUCUGAAUAUCCCAGAAGAUUAAAGUCUCCCUUCUUAGGAUACCAAAGACCGAUGCUUGAUGAUGAAGCGACAUAUUUAAUGAUACCUUUCGCAGCACUGAGAUGGGAUUCUCUAGGAUCUGAUUGAAACCUAGCACAGAUGCAAACACUCAACAAAAUGUCAGGUCUAGAAGCAGUAAGAUAAAGAAGUGAACCAAUGAUGCUCCUGUACAGCUUUUGAUCAACUUUCUUCCCUUCUUCAUCUUUGUCUAUCUUCAAAGAACUUGACAUCGGUAUGUCGGUCUUUUUGCACUUUUCCAGUCCAAACCUUUUGACAAGAUCAUUAACAUAUUUUUCUUGAUAAAUAAAAGUUCAUUCCUUCAAUUGUUUUACUUGAAGACCAAGAAAGAAUGUUAACUCUCCCAUCAUACUCAUUUCAAACUCAUCCUGCAUAGACUUAGAAAAUUUUUUGCACAGAUUUUCAUUAGAGGAUCCAAAAAUAAUAUCAUCCACAUAUAUUUGAACAAGUAAGAAACUUUUGUUUUCAUUUUUGAUAAAUAAAGUCGUAUCUACUUUACCUUUGACAAAAUCAUUUUGUAUUAAGAACUUACUUAAUCUGUCGUACCAAGCUCGAGGUGCUUGCUUUAAACCAUACAAAGCCUUUUUCAGUCUGAAGACUGAGUCUGGCUUCUUUGGGUCUUCAAACCCUGGUGGUUGUUCCACAUAAACUUCCUCAUGGAUAAAUCCAUUUAGGAAGGCGCUUUUGACGUCCAUUUGGAAUAACCUGAAAUUCUUAUAACAAGCAAACACAAGUAAUAGUCGAAUAGCUUCUAACCUUGCUACUGGUGCGUAAGUCUCAUCAUAGUCUAUUCCUUCUUCUUGCGUAUAUCCCUUGGCCAUGAGUCUUGCUUUGUUUUGUACGACUCUUCCUUUCUCAUUCAUCUUGUCCCUGAACACCCAUUUAGCUCCAAUAACAGUUUUACCUUUUGGUUUGGAUGUCAAUUCCCAGACAUCAUUAAUGUUGAAUUGUCUGAGCUGUUCUUGCAUAGCUUCAAUCCAGCUUUCAUCAGAUAAAGCUUCUUCUAUGCUCUUUGGUUCAAUUUCAGAAACGAGAGCCACAUCACUAGACUCUUCUCGCCUUUUGGAUCUGGUGCGAAUUCCUUCAUUAAUUUCGCCGAUUAUAAGAUCUUUGGGAUGACUUGACUUAUGCUUCCAGUUACUUGUUGAUUUGUCUGGUUGAUGAUCUCUCUCUUUAUUUGGAUCUUCAUGAACAACCAGAUGCUGGUCUUCCAGAGUCUGAGAUGCUUCUUGAGUUGUAAGAUUUGGAGGGUCUGGAGCAGGUUCAGACUCUUCUUGAUGAGUCAGACUUGAUUCAUCUUGCGUUGAGUCUUGAAAUCUGACAUUCAUUGACUCCUCCAUAGACUGGCUCUUCUUGUUAUAGACUCUGUAGGCUUUGCUUGAUGUAGAAUAUCCCAGGAAGAUACCUUCAUUUGAUCUUUCUUCAAACUUACAAACUCGAUCUUUUGCAUUUUUCAAUAUAAAACAUUUGCAACCGAAUACAUGAAAGUAUGAAACAAUAGGCUUCUUAUCUUUGAAUAACUCAUAAGGGGUUUUCUCUAGAAUAGGUCUUAAGAAGACUCUAUUGAUGAUAUAGCAUGCUGUUGAAACAGCUUCAGCCCAAAAUCGUGAAGAAAUCUUACUUUCAAUUAAAAGAGUUCUAGCCAUUUCUUGAAGAGAUCUGUUCUUUCUUUCCACAACUCCAUUUUGCUGAGGAGUAUAUGGAGAGGAGAACACAUGCUUAAAGCCAGAUUCAUCACAAAAUUUUGUAAAAUCUUGAUUUUCAAAUUCACCUCUAUGAUCUGUUCUUAUACUUGAGAUAACACAUCCUUUUUCAUUUUGAACCUUUUUAGCAAAUUUUUCAAAAUACGAGAAGGUUUCGGACUUACUUGCAAGGAAAUAUACCCAAGUAAAACGGGAGUAAUCGUCCACAAUUACUAGGCAAUAUUUUUUACCUCCAAUACUCUGUGUUCUGGUUGGUCCGAAGAGAUCCAUAUGCAGCAACUGCAGUACAUGAUUAGUAGAGACAUGAUUUAUUGGCUUAAAAGAAUUUCUUACCUGCUUUCCCAAAAUACAUGGAGUGCAUGGAUCAGUCUUUUGAUAAGGCAAUUUGGGUAGACCUCGAACAAGCUACUUUGAUGAGAUUUUGGCUAAUUGCUUCAUGUUGACAUGACCAAGCUUUCUGUGCCAUAAGCUUGCUUCGUCUUGAAUUGAGAUAAGACAUUGCGAUUCAUUUGGUUUCACAUCCAGAAGAUAGAUGUUUCAAUGUCUUCGGCCCAUGAAAGACUGAGUAGAGUCUUUACUAAUUCCAGAACAUAUUCCUUCUUGAAAGAAGAUCUUGAAACCAGUAUCACACAAUUGACUAAUGCUGAGAAGAUUGUAAUUGAGUCCUUCCACUAAGGAAACAUUACUUAUUGAGAGAUUUCCAAUUUUCACAGUUCCAAAUCCCACAAUACUUCCUUUGCUGUUUCCUCCAAAUGAAACUUUUCCACCAUUUACUUGAGCAAGCUUUAUAAAACAAUUUGAGUCUCCUGUCAUGUGUCUUGAGCAUCCACUGUCAAGAUACCACUUGACCUUUUUCUUGACAGUGACCUGCAUUUAAAAUAAAGUCUCAAGCUUUCUUUGGUACCCAAACUUUCUUGGGUCCUUUGGUGUUAGUAACAUAAGCAGUAUUAGCCCAUAUUUUCUUAACAGGUUUCCAAACCAUAAGACACUCUUUUUCAAAGUGAUCCGGACUGUUGCACUUUGAACAUCUGAGAGCAUUUCUACCUACAGAUUUUACAAAAACUUUCUUGAAAUGAUUUUUGUAAGCCUCUCUCGAGAGUCUUUUCUUAAUUCUUUCUUUUACUUUAGGAAAAUCAAUCAAUGGAAUUGUUUCUGCUGUCAUACCUAGACCGGACUUAUUGAAGUAAGGUCUUUGAGCUGAAAGAAUUUUUUCAAGUUUUUUAGAUCCUAUUGAAAAUUUAUUUGAAAUAUUUGAUAAGUCAGUUUUUAAAAGAGCAUUUUCUUUUAAAAGAUUAUCUUCAUUUUCUUUAAGAGUGGAAAUAGUCAAGUCUAGACUUUUAACUCUUUCUUCUAAAAUGUUUUCCUUUUGUUUUAGAGAUGAGUUUUCUUUUUUCAGUUCGGAAAUUCUUUUGAGAGAAGUCUUAAGACUAAAACACAGUUCAUCAAUGUAUUUAGAAACUUUGACAGGAAUUUUAAAAUUACUUGCCUCAAAUUCACUGUUUGAGUCUGAUCCAGAGUCUGAGUCUGAUUGUGCCAUCAGACAUAAAUUGGCAUAUUCAUUAUCAUUUUCUUCACACUCUGUAUCACUCCAGGUUUCGGCUUUGAGAGCUUUUCAAAAUUUUUCAGCUUUUCCUCUCUUCUUCUUCAGAAGAGGACAGUUGGGUCUGAUGUGUCCAUUUUUCUUACAUUCAAAGCAGACUACAUCUUUGUUUGGUUCCUCAUCAUCAACAGACUUGGUCUGCUGUCUUUGAAAGCUUUGUUUCUUUGAGUUGAACCUUCUUCAUUUUCUAUUCAGUUUUCUGAAUCUUCUUAUCAUGAGAGCAAGCUCCUCAUCGUCCAUAUCAUCUUCAGAAUCUGUAUCAUCAGAAUCAUCAUUUGAUUUUAAUGCAAUGGAUUUCUUACCUUUUGGAUCUUCAUCUUCAUUGAUCCGUUCCACUUCAUAAGACUGAAGAGUUCCAAUCAGCUCGUCGACAGAUAGUGGCAUAAUUCUUUGCGUCUCUCUUAUAGAAGUCUUUAUGUGAUUCCAAUCCUUGGAGAGUCCACGCAGUAACUUGUUUACCUUCAUGGGAUCAGAAAUUGUUUGUCCUUGAUUGUCAAGACCAUUGACAAUAUCUGUAAAACGGCUAAACAUGUCAGUUAUAGAUUCUCCUGGUUUCAUUUUGAAGGCUUCAUAUUGACCGAGAAGAAUGUUAAUUCUGGUUUCCUUCACUCGAUCUGUUCCUUCAUAGGUGAUAUGCAAUCUGUCCCAAACUUCUUUUGCUGUAACACAAGAUGAUAUUCUAUUAUAUUCAGUUGGUGACAAAGCACAAUAUAAAGAGUAAAUUGCUUUUGCAUCGAGUGCUUGUCUCUUGAUUAUCUCUUCCUGAGUCAUUCCGCUGGUCUCAACAGUUUCUUUCCCUCUUUCAGAGACUGAUGCAGUGAUAGGAGUAAUUCAUUUUUCUACAAUGUCCUAUUCCAGAGGAUCCUUUGAUCGUAGGAAAGCUUUCAUCUUGUUCUUCCAAAUGUUGUAAUCCUUUCCAUCAAAGUAGGGUGGUCUGGUAUUGCUUUGCCCUUCCAUCAGCCCUGGUGCUAGCAUACUAGCCAUGGAUCUUUUACUACGAAGUAAAACACUUCAAAUAAAGUAAGUACACAGGCUCUGAUACCAAUUGAUAUUGCUAGUAUAAGUACCUAGAGGCGGGUGAAUAGGUAUAUAAAAGAUUUUUCUUCGAUAAUUGCACAAUACUAGACAGUUGAUGGAUUUGAGACAAAUGAUAAUCAAAGUAAGACUGAAAGAAGAGAAAAUUGAACACGCGGUUUAUAGUGGUUCAGCUUAUAUCAAGCCUACGUCCACUCUUCUUCACUGACAGCCUAUUGGCUGGAUUCCACUAUGAACAAGAGAGAAGUUACAGCACAGCUUUGCAUUGAUUCCAUAGUGUAGAUGUUCUACCACACCUCCUUAAGAUUUCUCACAAAUAUAAACUCUCUUUUGUAUACAAGUAUUCGCUCAGAGUAAUUGUCUAAACAAAAAGGAGCUUCAGACUUUGGAAUUCUUCCAUCGCGCACACCUUGAACAGCUAAGACCGUCUUCCUUAUAUACUCCUUUAUGCCAUCAUACCCAUUGGCACUUACCAAAGGAAUUCCUCCAAUCUACCCGUUGGACGGAAUCAAUUAGGAAGAUUGUUCGAGCUAUUAAAAGAACGUGUCGAUAGCCCAUCAAUCAUGUUCGUCCAUACAAUCAGGAUCUCGGUUUCCAUAAGUAGAACCUUCCAAUAAUAUUUAGGCAAUCACCGGAUCUUCAAUUAUCGAGUCAAUCUUCGAUCAAUCAAAGGACUCCGUUAUGUCUUUUCCAGCCACGAGAUCUUCUCCAGUUGAUAAGGUUAAAUCCUUAACGAAACAUCCAGUUCUGGAUAACCUUUCUUCAACGGAUUAGAGACUGUCAAUGAGGAUAGACUUUGAGUCUUGAGUCUGGCUGUCCGGAGGUCUUCAGAUUUUAAAUAGCAGAGUCUGCAAGCCUUCAGACUAGACUGAUGGAAACGUUUUGUCAGCUUCAAAACACUUCAAGAAGAUUUCUCCAACAGAAACGAUGCAACAUAUGUCCUUAGAUACUAUUUGUACAUAUAUAACAACUCAGAAUGUGAGUAGAGUAAAUUUGUUUAUCGCCUGAAAUGGAGCAAGUUAAAUUAGACCUGAAGCCAGUCCUCGAGAUGAGUGAAGAGGUACAUCUGCUGCUCCUGCAAGGCGAAUAUGCGCUUGCCCUCUUCGAAGCUGCUCCCGAAAGCCCAUGGAGCUCCUUCAGCACCUCCACCUCGAACUCCUCUCUUCCUCCUCGCAUAUCGCUCCACGUGUCCAGCAUCUUGGCCGCGCUCGCCACGAUCUCCGGGAUCCACCCCUAUUCAAAAUGAGAGCAAACGCAUGCUGCGAAGUCCGUCCAGCGGUGAAGAAAACCGCUCGCAGUGCAAAAGAGCAGUUGAUCUUCGCCAUAUUGCCAAAGACCGUACGGCAAUUUAAAGAACAUAAAACUAGCUUCUGCUUGGUUUACUCAUUGCCAUAUUCAGAUUGCAUUCGCAUCAUUACCUCUUUUGCCACAGAAUGCGCAAUCCCUUGCUCCAAAGCUUCAACUGUCAGAGUUGCAAUGUUAAUUUAAAGCUUUCAUUUUUAAUAUUGAAAACAUGUCCCAAGUCUAAACCUAUAAAGGAAACCCAUUUCAAGGAGUUCUAGUUUCAGUAAAUUUCCUAAUUUGGGUAAGGUUUCUAAAAGGGUUCCUAUUUUGGAUCAAAAUCUUUUCUAUAUAUGCAAAAAAAAAAAAAAAGAUUUUCUUCGUGAAUUGCAUGUAAGAGGAGCUUUCAGUGUUCAAGCUAUUAAAUCUCUUGGUAAAGCGAGGAAUUAUGAGGGUUAAACAUUGUUUGAGUUACUAGGUGUAAUUGGGGGCUAAAAAACAUUAUGAGUGUUUGAGCAAAUCGAGUACUUUUAGUAAUUUUUAUUAUAUCACUUGAUUUAUAAUGGAAUCACGUGCCAUUCUCCUACAGAGUGGGUCCCACUAACUGAAACAUCCCAUAGUGGAAUCAUCUUUGUAGAUGUGUGUCCAAUCUCCUGACUAAAACGAAUGCAACAUGAGCUUUGCUCUAGUUGUGGUACAUGGGGUUGUGUUUGCAAAUCCUUAUGGAGCGUGUAGAUAUAAUUAGUGUCCUAAUAAGGUCUAGGGAGUUGGCUUGGAAGAUUUUUAUGGUGGUCUUGCCCAUAAAGGGUUGUGGGAAGAGUAACGGCAAAGUCCAAAUUCUAACGAAGAGAUUGUCGAGCCAACGUGUAGAUUGUUGAAAAUCUAUUUUAAAUUUAAACCCUUAAAGGAAAUCCAAUUCACGUGGGACUCCAAAUUUGAGUAGAUUUCUUAGUUGAAUGUUUUUUUUUUUAAAUUUUAGUGGUUUUCUAAUAAUAGUGGAUUUCCUAAAAAGAACUUCCUUUAUUGGAUCCCAAAUUUUUCUAUAUAAGUAGUCACUCUAUUGUGUCACUCGAUAUAUUGUGGAAUGUGGUGCUCUCCUCAUAGACUAGGUCCCACUAAUUGAAUGAUGUAAAUCUAAAAUCCAAUUUAUUUACUUGUUUUGUUUCUUUUAUUGAUUGAUUGUUUGUUUUUUCGCAACAUUUCAUAUUACUCUGCGGUGUGUGGGGGCUGUGCAGGACUAAGAUGUUGUGUUCAUAAAUCACGUCAAACAAUGACAUGGUAUGUAUGCGAUGGUAAAUUGAUAAUAUAUACUGCCUCCAACGCUCACCUUAACUCUCUCCAUAGUAAAGGCCUGGUUAGCGAUCCGCCGGUGAAUGGCCCACUUCUCGCCCACCAGCCCAACAAGGCCUUGCCUGAACAGCUCCCGAGCGUGCGAGUUUAACUUGACCCGGUCGUACGACCUGCCUGUAUUCGUCAGGACCUUCUUGAUCAUGACCGGGUCCGAGAUGCCCAGCCUACGCCUCGACCCGAACCAAUAUACAAGAGUCCUCCCAUACUUGAAGGACCAAUGGUGUUAGAAAGGAGCCACUCUGUGGAGGAUCCUGUGGUCGAACGGCAUGGGCUUCGACUGAGCCUCCACGAGUAGGCGGUUGAUCUCCGCCGUGUUGCCAAGGAUCGGACGGUUGCUGGGCCCCGGACGCCUUGCUUCGUGAAGUGGCACCGUAGCUUUAGCGGGGUAAAGAGAUUGGAGUAUGUGAAUUUCGAGAGGAGGAUGAGGAUAACCAAGAGGACUGAAACCACAAGCCAUGGCGUAGUUGGAGCGGGAGGAGGGGUUGGAGAAUGAGAGGUUCACAAGGAGUUGUAAAAACAUGGAGUAAGAUGGGCCUUAAAUAGAGGUUAGGUCAAACUGUUAUGCUUUUUCCAAAUAAUUUCGUGGUUUUGCAAUGAAAAAAUGUAUAAUAUAUUGCGGUCUCAUUGACGAGUGCUUUCAGAGCACUUUUUAGUCAUAUCUAUUAAAGAAUUAUUUGCAUUUACAAUUUAUUGAUCGUACAUAAUAAGAGAAAGAUGGCCCUUCGUCAAUGACAAAGGUUCUGUAAUGGGGCACCUGUUAAACACCCUUGUAACAAAAGCUUGUGAUUUUUAAUACACUCUUGUGUUACGUGUGAUCAAUUGGAAAUAGAGAUGUAAUCAAGUCAAGUUACUUGCAAAUAGCUCAGACUCGACUCAAUGAUUAAUCAAGAUCAACUCGCCUAACUUUGAGUCGAGCUUGAGCUCACUAAUACAAAGUUCGACGGCCUUCCAAACUAAUUAAUCCUGAUCAAGUUUCUAUAUUAACUUACGAACAAAUACUUUAUAAUUACAAAAAAAAAUAAUAAUAAUAAGACCGGAAAGUCCUUAAAAUUACAUAGUACCCAUAUAUAUAUUUAGUGAGGGAAAAAGUACUAAAAAAAUCAUAAAUCUAUUACACUUAUGCUAAUUCAAUCAUAAACCUAACAAUUAUACUAAUUGAGUCCUAAACAUUUUGACACAAUAGAAAUGUUUAAUACUAAAUUGAUACAAAUGCAAUAAAUUUAGAACAUUUUUGAUAUUUUACUAUUUAAGGAAGUUAAGGCUACGCAUGACAAAAUUUCUGAAACAGAAAUUGAUUUCUAGUCAGAAAUCAAUUUCUCAAUUUCUAUUUCCGGACAAGUUUUUGAGCAAAAAAACCCGUUUGAUAACGACUCAAAAUUUCUAUUUUUGAAACAAAAAUCCGUUUAAUAAUAGAAUAAAAUUUCUAUUUCUAGGAAUAGAAAUUAAUUAGAUAACAACAUAGGAAAUCCUUAAAUACAAAACAAUAGUCGAAAUAAUACUAAAACAACAUAGGAAAUCCUCAAAUACAAAAUAAUAGUCGAAAUAAUACUAAUAAAUUGCAAAAUUUGAAAAUACAAUUUCAUGUUGGGUUAGCCAUACACAUCACAUGUUUCUAGCGAUUCACAUGGUAUCAUUAAAUGAUACAUGUCUUGGAUAAGAAUCUUCCGACAUAUUAUUAUCCAUUGUCAUUUUAUUGGCAAUGGUUUUCCUAAGCGUAUUUAUUUGGUUUUCCUCUUCGGUCAAUGUAUCGUUUGCAAACUCAUCUUGCAUAGGUUCAAACAAGUAUUGUGGAAGCAUGAAUAUGGGUGCCAUCAAUGGCGCCUAUAUAGCCUUGCCAUUUUAUCAAAGACUAGUAUUAUACAAGAUUAUUAACAAAAUAAAAUUGAUGGUGCAAAUAAAUAUAUGAGAAUUCUACCUUGAAGUAACGUUUAUGAUUAGGAACCAAUCGGGAGAAGAUCGGUUUAUUUUGAUUCUCGAAUUGAAUCAAUUCAGUUGCUCAUCCUAAUUUCUUUAUUAUUGCUCAAUGAACCUUUAAUGGCCCUUGCAUAGCAAAGAGAGAGAUUCUCUUGAAUCUUUUUCCUUCGAAUUAAAAUUCAAGAUUGUGUAACAAUCUAACUAUUUUGAUUUUGCAAGAAUUUUGAAUUCGUAAAGAAACAAUGUUAAAUUUCUAGGCAUGUUUUUUAUUCAUCUAUUACGUAAGAACUUUUUCUUCAACUGGCCAUGCGUGUGCUUUUUCUAGGAGGAAAAAUCUCCAUUGUUUUUAAGUAAGCAUUUAAGAACUUUGGUCGUUUUUGAAAAUUUGGGACCCAUUCGAUUGCCUUUCAUCCUAAAGAGGAAGUUAUAAAAAAAAAUGAAAAAAAAAACACGAGCAAAAUAAGAAAAAGAAAAUUAGCAAUAAUUUGUGAAGUUGUGGUUAUGAGUGAAUUAAGUUAGCAAGAAAGCACAAUGUUCUUUUAUAUGGUUUGAUUUCAGCUUCUGAUUUCUAUUUCAGAAACUGAGAAGUUAAAAAUUUCAGUUUCUGAUUUCUUCAAUUUCUCUAUUUCUGGAAUAGAAAUCUGUUUCAGAAAUAGAGAAAUCAAAUUGCGUUACCAAACGGAUUUCUGUUCCAAACCUGUUUCGGGGAACAGGGAAAUAGAGAAAUCGAGAAAUAGAAAUUUUGUCAUGCGCGCCCUAAAUAACUGAGCUUGAUAAGCUCGAGCUUGAGCUCAAGUUCGUCUAUCACUCUAUUAUAAUUGAGUAGAAUUCAAAUAUUUUGAAUUUUUAUUUGACCCAAGUUUGAGCUGAGGUUAUAAUGCCCAAUCAAGCUCGAGUGGAGGUUCGAGCACCAAAUAUUGAAUUGAGUUGAGCUCAAACUUUGGCACUACUAUAUCGACUUGAUUCAAGUCGAUGACACCCUUAGUUGGAAUCUAUGUUAUUUUAGGAUGAGUUAGAGUGAUAACAAAAGAGGAAGUGAGAGAAAAAUUGAAAUGAUUUCGGAGAACUCUUUAUUUUUCGAAAUUACAGUUUCGAAUCUCGUCUAGCCCAUGAAAGAGGAUUGAGUGCAUGUCAGGCUGAUACUAAGUGUUACUCAUGUGUGAUAAUUGCACUGGGGCAGAGUGAUAGAAUAUAUAAUUUAUAUAUAUAAUCUAGGACGAGUGAGUGUGAUGACGAAUGAGACAGUAAUAUAAAAAUCGGAAUGGCUUUUAAGAUCUCAAAUCUUUCGGAUUUGAAAUCUUGAGCCCAAGAAAGAGGAUAGAGUGCAUUCUCGGCUGAUAGUGAAUGUCCACCUACUAAUGUGCCGACAUUAAAAAAGAUGAAUUUUUAAAAGAGAGAGUUUCUUGGGAGUUUGCGAUUAAAACGAAAAUGAGAGGGUGACGGUGCCCUUACUCUUUGGAGACCCCGCCAUAAAUUUUUCCCAAAGAAUCCGAACAAAUUCCUAAGAAAUUUGUGGAUCCACAUACCAAGUGGAUUAUUUUAGAUUAAAAAUAAAAAAAUUAAGAAAUAGAAAAGAUAUAUAUUAGAAACAUCAUCAAUAUAAAAUAUCCUUAAAAGAAAAUUGUUUAAACAUCUUUAUUGCAACUUCUAUAUCUGUUUGCAACCUUAAUAAGUUUUAGCUUUUAUUCAUUUUUUUGCCAGUCGGGUUGCGAUUACAGGCUAGUCUACCUUAAACCUUUUCAAUCCUAGUGGAUUAAAAUUUACGACUUAAAUCGAUCGAUGCAGGAGACUUAUGGUAGUCACAACAUGAAGUAUUUGCGCUAGUCCCCAUUUUCAUUAUUUUAGCCAUAAAAAUAUAUCUUUUCAUGGGAAACGUGUUUAAUACAGUAAGGAUAUCUUGUUAGUUUCAAAUUAACUUAAAAUUUGGGUCAAUUAUGUACGGGCUAAACGAAAGAAAAAGGAAAAAAAAUGGGAAAUCAAAUGUGGGCUUGUAAAUUUGUUACAAUACAUAAAUAUUGAUACGGACAUCGAGAUAUAACUUUUUAGUAAUCUCUUAAAAAGUUAAAUAAUGUUUUAGAUUUAAUGAGAAAGUGAAAAACUUAAUUUUGAUCUUUGAUGAAUUUGGAUGAACAACAGUAACAAAAAUUAACAUAUAAGUCAACUCACGUAGCUUAAAUUGAUAUAAAUUGGAAUAAGUACACCAAAAGUGCCAAAAGUUGUAUACAAUACUCAUUUUGGUGUCAAAAGUUUAUUUUGGAUCACUUAAGUGCCAAAAAUUUUGAAAAACGAUCGUUUUAGUGUCAACGCCGAUCUGAUUGGCCGAAUAUCCGACAUGGCCUUUUUUUAAUAAUUUAUUAAGUUGAUGUGGCUCGCUAGAGAGUCCAAUCAACAUCUAAAGCAAGAAACGACGUCGUCUAGUUGCAUUUCCCUCCAAAUAAGAAUCCCAAUUUGCCAAAUUGAAAGAAAUUCCCAAUUUCAAACCCUAAGUGGCCAUUGAAUGAAUCCUCCCAACUCGAUCCACCAUGCUCCGGCAACUUGCCAGCGGCAAGCCACGAAGAAACUACUCCACCUAGUCAUCCCGACCACUGCUAUCAUGAGUGCUUGCCUUCUGGAGAACAAAGAAGAUCAAAUCUCAGCUUCAACUUUGGUCUUAACAGAACAAAAUUGCGAGUCAAACACUGCCUGGUCUAUGGACGAUGAUGGAGUUGCAAUCUAUGACUAGAUCAAGGACAGAAAGUUCAAUUAUCACUACCAAUGGGGAUGAAAGCGAACAAAUAGAUUUCGGGGGCAAUUUCAUCACUUCAUAUCUUUUGGUUGUGAAGUAGAGUAAAACAGAGUGCGCCUCGCACUCUUCCGGAAUCAAUUAUAGGUGGCGGUGAAUGAAAGUUAGAUUGACGUGGAAGAUUCUCGGUGAUGAAGAAGCCAAGAAUCAAAGCAAGCGAUGGUAUGUCAAGCAGGGUCUCAGUUCUUUAAGUACUUGGAUCGCAGAGCAAAGAAUAGAGCAGUAAAGUUCAUGGCACAUCGAUAAUAUUCCAAUGAGCUCUUAAAAUGCAAAAUUUGAAGACAUGAAAACAUGGCCUCUCAACCAAGCUCACUGGAGACAAUACGGGUGCCUUGCGAGUGACAUCAACACUCGUCCAUGGACGAGUGGUUUGCAAGCGCCAGUAUUGCUCGACCAGAUCUGGUGGCAACAACUGGUGGCAACGAUGAAGGAGGGGCAGAGGUUGAAUUUGGAGAGAGGGAAUGACCGGAUGGGUUUUUCAAGCAAGAGGGAUCGGAGGCAUUCAGGUGAGGGAGAGGGCGGACACAUUGUUGUAGAGAGCGAGCUUAUAGAUGGUAACAAAGGAGAGAUGAGAAUAAAAAUGCCAAUAUUUUCUUUCUUCUUCAUUGGACAACAGCCAAGAAAGUCCACAUCUACUGAUUUUUAGAAAAAAAAAAUUGCCCAGUAAUAUUAAUUUUUUAAUUAUAAAAGCCACGUCAUUUUUUGGCCAAAAUUUUUUGUCUAAGGCAUUUAAGUGAUUGUUUUUCUUUGGUUUGGCACUUAAGUAAGCUAGCGAAAACUUUUGACACUAAAAUAAGCGCCAUACGAAACUUUUGACUCGGAAAAGAUUUCAUCGAGAUGGACAUUAUCAACUCGAGAAACGUUCGGGUGCAAUUGAGCUUUCCUUUACACAUGGUCAUUAUAUGGCUGUUAUUAAUUAUCGUAUGGAACUUUAGCUUGCAAAACAGACAUUAUGGAAGAAUCCUACUUCUGCUUGACCUCCCUCCCUCCUAUUUAACUCUCCUCACUGCCCCCGCCGCUCGACCACCUUACCACCACACUGAUCAUCGCUUUAGAUGUCGACAUUGCAUUCACUAUACUAGCGUAUGACCACCAUCGCAGAAUCCCCAGCUGAAACCUUAGAUCAGUGGGGAGAAGAAUGAAGGAGCCAUGAUCAUGGUCCAUAUGACUGUCGCGACCUCUCUUUUUUUCGGCACCCGCAAUCGGGUACGAGCGCCUAAGGAAGCUAAUGGCUCGGCUGAAAUUGAUUAAGCCCGGACUCUCCCAAGUCCACCAAUUCACGACUUAAUAGUCUAAGUUUUUAACCUGCAAGUUGAUUUUUAAAAUGGAGUCGCCACUAAUCAAUUUUGGGUGGGUUGAUUAGAAACCCAAGCGAAGUAUCGGGAGAAAUACUCACUCCUGCGCAACCAGAGAAAUUAGGAUCGGGGACUUGAUUACACUAGUUAAUCACUAAUGCCCUUUCGGUACCUAAUCGUGUUUAAACCUUGAGGGUUUUUGGAUGUUUGAGGGAUUUUCCAUGCAUUUUGGGAAGGAAAAACAUUUUUUGAGUCUUUUUAUCAUUUUUUGGACAUAAAAGGGAAUUUUUUUUUUUUGGUAUUUUUUGGAAAAAUACAAGUCUUUUUGGCUUUUUCAUGAAGUUUUGGCUUUUUUUGGAUUUUUGGCAUUUUUUGGAAAAUAUGGAAUAUUUUUUAUUUUUUUUGGUUUUUCGGAAAAUAAAAUAUUUUUUAAUAUUUUUCAAAAUAUUUUUGGAAAAUAAAUUAUUUUUUAUUUUUCUCGAUUUUUUAGAAAAUAAAACAUUUUUCAACAUUUUUUAAAUAUUAUUCGAUUUUCUGGAAAUUAAAACAUUUUUUUAUAUUUUUUCGAAAAUAAAUUAUUUUUGAUUUUUUUUAAAUAAUAUUUAUUAUUUAUUAUUAAAAAUAUUAUAAAAACUGACCCGGGUCGGAUCCGCGGGUUGGGUCCAACCCGGGCCGGCGACCCGCACGCGGACGGGCCCGCGUUGCGGGCUCGACUCAGAUUUUUUCCUUUUUUAAAAACGGCGUCGUGGCCGGUGUUUAGGGACACCCGGCCCGGCCCGACAACCCGGUCCAACAGCCCAUCGCUUCUAAACGACCCGGCCCGACCCGAUGACCCGAUCCUGGCGAAACCCUACCCGAUCCGACGACCCGGCUUUCAUCCGCCUCUCAAUUUGCGAAACCCUACCCGAACAGUGGCCCGGAUCCGACCCAGGCUGGGUCCGACGCAAUGCUUCUUCCCUCCUCGUCUAUCCGCGGCGCCGAUGGAGGGGCUAGGAGGUCGAACGGCGGCGGUCCGGCGUUCGGCGGUGACGGAGGCUAGGGUCUUGACAAAAAAGGGGGCAAGCCUCCGAACGGCGGCGACGGAGGCGACCGCACGGGUUGAGAUGCAAGGCGAAACAACGAUUAGGGUUUCGAGAGGGGGGCAAAGCCUCCGAGCGGCGGCGACGGGGGCGGUGAUGGCGUACGGCGGCAGAUGGCGACUGAGCUCAUACCUAUUUCGGUCGAUUUCGCGAUGUAGGGCUUUGAUUCGGCCGAGUCUUCGAACAGCUGCAGGUCUACGUCGGGGAAGCAGUGGCCGGUGUCAGGAGAAAUAGCAGUGGCGAAACGCGAGGGUGGCAGCACGGUUCGACGGCGUUGGGGCUGGUGCUUGAUCACAGCGACGGCGGCGGCCUGGCUCGGGGCGACUCGACACGACGGCAAGGGUUCGGUCCGCUCCCAGUCAGCCCCCUCUCCUCCAGAUCUGACCUUUCUCAAGUCUUCUUCUUCGCGGAUCUGGGACUCCCUCGGAACCAGACCCUCCGAUUCGACCAGAUCUCUCCCUCUUCGGCCAGAUCUGAGAUCUCCGAUGGCUUGCCUUCAAACCUUCCCCGAAGUCUCUCGGGAAAGGUCUUCGAAGCUUGCUACCAGAGGUCCCUCACUUCGCCGUGCUCUCCUUCUCGCGGAUCUGGGUUCGCUUGCCGCCGGCCUCCCCCGAUGUCUCUCGGUGGGAGAUCGUUUAGCUCGCGACCCGAUCCUUCGCUCGCUCUUUGAUUUCCCCCUUGAAGUCUCUCAAGGGGAAGAUCUUGGAGUUCGCUCUGUGUCCUUCAACGAUGGAGGUGCUCCGCUAUUUAUAGGCGAGGAGGAGGCCGGUCGAUAGAGGGUCGGCCGUCGGCCCUCGCACACCGACCGGACCCCCGUGGCUGAACCGGCGUCCCAUCCGAGCUCCUCCAACAACGCAUGCUUGGCAUUGAAGGAAGCCAAUGAUGGCGCUUGAGAUUUGUCUCUUCCGGCCGACGUCGGCCUACACUCCUUGGCCGUAGGCUCGUUCGUGCGCGUGAGUUGCAGAGGUGGAAGGGAAGAAGAGGGAAGAAGGAAGAAGAAGAAGAGAGAGAGGGCCGGGCUGGAGGAGAAGGAGGUUGGGCCAUAAGGGCCCAUGCGGGGGGGAGAGAAAAAGGAGGGGGGCUGGGCGCGAAGGCCCAGCCCUGAUGGGCUGCCAAUUUUUGUUUUUCUUGUUUUUAUUUAUUUAUUUAUUUAUUUUGUUGUUUUUGUUAUUUAUUUUUUAUUAUCUAAAAAAAGGAAAAUAAAAGAAAAUAAGACCUAAUUAAUAACCUAAUCACAAUUUAGGUGUCAACAAUGACAAAAGAGAGAGAUUAAGUGUCGUCCCUAUUCAUGUUGGUUAAAUAUUUUGAUAAUGUGUUUAAGUCAUUUUAUGUCUGAAGCUAACCCUUCAAAUAGGAGGACAAUCGUGUCAUUUCCCUUAUUCUUGUAGGACUUGGGGUGCGACAUUAGAAUAAAAUUAGAGAUGAUAUAAUUUUUGUUGGGAGCGUUGAACCCACCUUCACUUAAAAGCAAGAUUAAGCCAAUUAGUCUCCCUCAUGUGUACCCUAAAACCACAUUGGUAACGAGAUUACCAUUUGUUACUUUGAUAUUAUUUGUUGGGAGCUGUGACACCCCAAAUUUUCUUUUGUUCAUCAAUUAAGUUAAGUAUAUUAUAGAUUAAGGUUACUGAUUUGAUUAAAACACCAAGUGUUCUUUUAGUUCGACCAUGACCCACUCUUCCGUGCAUGGGAGGAUUUUCUUUCAAGAGGAAUUUUAUUCCCCUCGUAGCAGCCAGGUGGAGCUAAAGAGGAAGAGGGGGAGGCCACACGUGUACUUCUACUCUUUUCUUCUUUCCUAAACGGUUCAGUUGCAGCAACUGAUUUCUUCAACUGGGUUCUUUUCUUUCUUCCCUCAACCGAGACACCCAACUCUUCUCACUCUUAUUUUCGCUUCGUUCCACCAAAGAUCUGACCCGAGCUCAGCCCUUCUUAGCCCCGUGCCUUCUUCGAGCAGCGAGACCAUCGUUGCCUUGCCCUGUUCAGAGCUCCCGCCGUCGACCGUGAAGCCCCAGCUCGCCCGACGCCUCCUCCCUCUUCUGCCGGUGAAAGAUCCAAGCAAGUGAAGCUGUCUUCGUGGUCUCGAGUUCAUGGGUUUGCCCCGCCUUGUGUUGUAUGUUGAUUUAGGGUUAGGUGGCUGCAUUGGGAGUGCAGGGGACGGCUGAAACGUUGGGUUUUGGGGUAGGAUAGGUUCUGAUUUUGAAUUGCCGUGGCUGGUAGGUGGUGGAUAUCGCGUUCCACCCGGUCGACAACCCACCAACCCAUAGUUUCCUUCCCUCUCUCUUCCAUUUCUCUCUUUUCUCCCUCGACUUGAACAGAACGGAGCCUUGAUGUCCCUGUUUUGGUAUAUAUGGGUUAGCUGAGAGUCCAAAUAAGAGCUGUGAGUGAGAGAGGGAGCGUGCGAGAGAGAGAGAGAGAGAGAGAGAGAGAGAGAGAGAGAGAGAGACUGUGAGAGAGGUGCGGAUUGAGCGAAUUGAGAACGAUUCUUGAUUUGAUGAUUCUAUUUUGAGCUCAUUCGGGCUGGUCGCAGGGUUGGAUGGGUGGUCAGUGACUUAAGUGCGAGGCUUGUGGAUGGUAUGGUGUAAGUCGGGGCGAGAGGGAGGCUGUGGUCCAUCGUUGUUGGGUAGGAAAGGCUGGUGAGCUACGAAAUGGGCUUACAUGUUGACUUAGGAAGGUCGAGACUUCAAUUGUGGCUUUGGAUGGAUUUCUCGAAUUGUUUGUGAUGAAUCACUAGUGGUUAACGCUCGUUUAGGUGCUAUACAUGUGUGGUCGAGGCUCAAAUGGGGGUUCGUGAGGUGACUAAUUAGCUAGGAGUAGCUGAGUGCAGAUGCUAGAGUUCAUGGUUGGUCUGUCCGAGAAGAAAAGUUCACUGAGGUUGCUGGUUUGUCGAUUUUCGGUCAUCAAAUGUAUUAAGAGUUGGAUGAACUUAUUUUCUGGAAAGUUGUGCAAUAAAUUCUGAUCUAUGACAUAUAUUUAAUUGAUAUUUUUAUGAGUUAAACUAAUCCACAUGAAGAUUUGAUUUUAUACUGUUAGUGAGCUGUUCGGUACCGUGAAAUCACGACCUCAGUGUGCUUUUGAAUUUCUAUAAAAUUAUUGAGUUAGAAUAUGGAUUUACUUCCUCCAUGAAAGUAGUAGGAGACAUGUAGGUGCAGAACAUAUCAAAAUUUCAAAGCAUUUUACUGAGUAUUGAACUUCGAAAUGGGCUAAACCUCCCGGUUGUUAGUUCUGUUCGGCGGAAGGAAUUUUGAGCUGCAUGGACCACAUUGCUGCUCUCUUUACAGAAGGAACCAAACUUGGUUUCCUUCUUGAAAAGUUUUCAUUUAGGGCCUUACUAUCACAUAUUAAAACUUGAGAGUUUUCUAUGAUGGUUUACUAUGGUUUUGGCUCUAAACACUGAGACUAGUCGCUUUCGCCUAGUUCUAUCUAUGUUAGUAGAUUCUGAGUUUUCUGCAAGAAAAUGUUGGACUCUUACUUUGUUGCUUCUAAUGAGGGUUCUUAUAUAUCUUGUCGUAUUUAAAAAUGCAUGUUUAGACCUUGGUGUGAUUGUUAGCAUACUGGAGUUGUUGGUGCUGCAACAAGGCAGAAUUAUGAAUGUGUGUAAUUGGCUAAGGAGCCAAUGAGAGACCCCGGGUGUCGGGAUGCCUGGAGAGGGGUGACUAGGAGUAAUAGUAUUCUCUCCAGGGGACUGAGAAGGGUUGAAUAACUUUUCAGGGGACCUUGUGAUGCCAGGUUGGGUGCGAGGGGUACAGGAUGGAGUGUCGUCUUCCCCUGGGUGAUUGUGAACCUCGUGACGCCAAGUUGGGUGCGAGGGGUACAGGGUGGAGUGACGUCUUCCUCUGGGUGAUUGUUGCAACUAGACUUCUAUAGAUUCUGCAAAUUAAUAGUUUCUUUACCUAUUUGUCUUGCUAUUGGCCAACUUUAAGUUAAGACUAACCGCCCACUUGCUGAGUUUUUAUUUUGAAAACUCACACUUAUUUAUUGUGUCUUUUUUUUUCAGAUUAGAAGGUGACCAAGGAGCACUCGACGUGUGGGAGAGUUUUGUUUUGUUUUUUUUUUUUUUUGUAGUAUGUACAUACUCGACGGGAGGCGGGAUAUUAAGUGUUUGUGGCUCCUAGUGUUUUUUUUUUUUGUGUGUGUAGAAAUCCCCCUCCUUAGCCUCAUCUCCCGAUGUGUACGGAAACAAAGUUUUUAGUAAAUAUAGUCGAGUGCAGUUCAAUUUCUUAUGACUCAACUUAGAAUGAAAUUUAUUUUAUGAUCCGAAAUUAAUAUCUCCCCUAAUUUAUAAAGCAAGGCAUGUGACUUGACUUGAGAUCCUGGGUGCCACAGGAGCGCCUAGCGGAUUACUCAGUAAAAAUGCAAUACCUUCACCUCAAGAGAUAUAUUUAGUUGAACUCACAUUCAAUUAAAAGUUUAAACUAAUGAGUUAUGAGUCAACUAAGAUUGUUAACCAAUCCACACCACAUCAAUUAUUCAAUAUAGGGAAACCUAACACAACUCAACAAUCUCUUCAUCACAUUUAAACUUAAUGUUAUGGGUGCUCCCCUCCAUUCGAGUAUCGGAUCGCAUUAGCAUGUCUCAACUUCAGUUUUUUUGGGAAAAGUGAUAAAAAAAAAAGUCAUAAACAUAUUGUAUUAAUGAUUACUUAGCCCUAAAUUUUUUAUUGGUGCCAAUUUAUUCCGAAACAUUUUGACAUAAUGUCAAUUCAAUCAUUCCAGCUAAUUUUAGUUAGAUUUUGCUAAUGUCGAUGCUGGUCGAUUUACGUGGUACAGUCAACGAUGACGUUGUUAACUUUUAAUUAGGGAUGAGCACGGUUCCCGGGUAGAACCGGGUUCGAUUCUGUUCCCGGUUCUAAAGAGACCGGUUGCGGGUGGGCUGGUUCCCUUUUUCUGGGAACCGGUCAGAAUUUUAAAAAAAAAACCCUAGCCCCUCGCUUCCCCCAACGUGAUUUCCCCCCUUCCCUUUUCUUUUUCUCUCUCUCUCUCUUUCUUUCCUCCCCUUUUUCCUCCUCACAUCACUUCCUGCCCCCCAACUUGUUUUCUUUUCUUCUCUCUCUCUCUCUUCUCUUUCCCCCUCUCUCGGCCGAACCCCCCCCCCUUCUUCUCCUCCUCUUCUUCUUCUUCUUCUUCUUCUUCUUCUUCUUUUUCUUCUUCUUCCUUCCUCUUGUUGGCUGCUGCUUCACCCACCACCACACUGCCGCCCCACGCCCUACUCACCACCACCUCUUGGCCACCGAACCAUCACCACCCGCCGCUUGUCUGACGAGCUGUCUCGCCAUUGAGCCCGACAAGCUAUCGCGCCGUCCGCGCCGCCCCUCGAUGCCUCUCGGCCCCUCGACGCUGCUCGACCCCCUCGACGCCCGCUUGGCCCGCUUGACACCCUUGAUGCUCCCUCGACGCCGCACGGCCCCCUCGACGCCCACUCGACCCCCUCGACGCCGCCUGAUGUCCCUUGAUACCGCUCGCCACCCUCGACACCUAAGAAACUCGCCUCCUCCAGCUUCAAUCACAGGUCUAAUCUCUUGUUGUUUCUGCUCUUAACUGUUAGAUCUAAUAUAACAUUUUAGCUGCUUUAUUUGGUCGAUUUCUGAGAUGUGAGUGUCAUGCUUGUGUGCCCUAAUCCAAGUACAUACAUAGUGAGGGAAGGGAAUUUGUGGGGUUGUGUCACGUAGGUUCUUCCGUAUCCCAAAAUAAGACCAAGAUGGCUAUUCUGGGAUCUUCAUCUUACUAUUCAGUGGCUAUUGUUGGGGUUGUUCUUGUUCUGGUUUUGAAUGGGGCUGAUUUGUGCAAUGGAGGGAAGACCAGCACUUUUUUCCAUAAAGUAGAGAAAACUGUGGACAUGCCUCUAAAUAGCGAUGUUUUCCGAGUGCCUCCUGGCCAUAAUACCCCUCGACAUGUCUCAACUGAGUUUGUCUUCUUGCUUUCUUUCAGUAUAGCACAAGCUACAAGCUUUUCCUUCUGUUCAUUCGUGACUUAUGAAAUGGUUGACAUCUAUGUGUAUACACACUAGGAUGAGCUAGAGUCGCAUUAAUUUGGUUUCGGAUUCGAUGUGAAUUAAUGUUAGAGGUCACUGUUGUUAAUUUUGUUCUAUUCGUUGUGGUUUUUUAUUUGGUUUUGAUUUUGGUGCGAGUCUUUAAGUACAUAUUACCCAAUGAGAUCAUGUGGGAAAAGGAGUGAUUAUGUCAUGGGUGACUCCGGAUGAACCUGGGUCCAAUGUAGUGCCAAUGCAGUGCGUUACUGGAGUGAAAAUAGCGAGCACAAGAAAAAGGCAAAGGGCAAAGUUAAUCAUUAUAAGUUCUACAAUUAUACUUCUGGCUACAUCCACCAUUGCACCCUCAAAAACUUGAUGGUAAAUUUCUGAAUUCCUCCAGAAAUAUUAAUUUUUUUUUGCCUGGUCUACAAAAUUUGGUAAAUGUAGCUGAUGUUUAUUCCAUUUACUUGCAGGACAACACUAAAUACUAUUAUGAGGUUGGAAUUGGACACACGGUCCGACAAUUCUGGUUCAUUACUCCUCCAAAGGUUGGCCCUGAUGUUCCAUAUACUUUCGGUCUCAUAAGUAAAGUAAAUCAUAUUGUCAUGCAUAGAUAGUCAAUGACUCAAAGUAGCUUCAAAAGCUCAUUCCUGUGUAUGUACUAUGAGUCUUUGCAAAAUCAUUUAGCUUUGAUAAUCAUUUUCAUCAGUAAGUCGCAGCAAAUUUAGUUUUGCCGGUAAUUUACAUGCAUCCACGGUUCUACUUCUUUCUGUGCUCAGCAUGCCAAUGACCAUUGCAGGGGAUCUUGGUCAGACUUUUGAUUCAAACCGAACACUCGCCCAUUAUGAGCAUAAUACGCAGAAAGGACAGACUCUAUUGUAUGUUGGAGACUUGUCAUACGUGGAUGAUUAUCCCGACCACGACAAUGUGAGGUGGGAUACAUGGGGAAGGUUUGUCGAAAGAAGUGUAUGUUGUCUCCUAUUCGCUGCAUUGUUGACAAUUACCUUCUGAUAAUGAUUUGCAGAAGGUGGGAGACAACCAUUGGACUGGGCAUCGCGGGUGAAGAUUUCUCUAGGAGUGGCUAAAGGCAUUGCUCACAUCCAUUCGGCCAGAGGUGGGAGGUUUAUCCAUGGCAACAUACCUUGAAGGUUGCAUCUCAUAUUUGGCCUGACUCCUCUGAUCUGCACUCCUACAGUGCCUCCUAGAACUAGAAGUGUAGGUUAUCGGGCUCCCGAAGUCAUGAAAACUCGGAAACCCAGACAUUUACAGUUUUGGAGUACUGCUCCUUGAAGGAUUGUCAAGGUGUCGGACCCAUUAUGGUGAGUUCAAGCUAUUUUUCUGUGUUAAUCAUGAUUUGAAGGAUAAGCUCAAAAAAAGAGUGAGGAUUAAGAGGUAUAAUAUUGUUUAUUAUUGCUGCGUUCAUUUUCAUUUUUUUAAACUAAAAAUGAAAAAAAAAAAAAAAACCUGUUGGAACCUGGAACCGACCCUGGAACCUAUGACAGGGUAGGUUCCAAGUUCUUGGUUCUGACGGAUAGGUUCCAGGUUUCAAAAAACGAAGAACCUGUACCCGAAGGUAGGUUCCAGGUUUCAGCCGGAACCGAACCGCAACCGGGAACCGCUCACCCCUACUUUUAAUGAUAUUUUAAUAUCUUUUGAAUUUUUAUUUAUUUUAUGAAGGAAGAAGGAAGGAAAGAAAAUCAGAGAGAGAGAGAGAGAGAGAUGAGGGGUGGCGAGGGCGUGGUGGUGCGGCGUGAUUUUGCAAUUAUCACCAAUUCCACACAUGCCAUUGCUCCGAAACCGUAACUGGCAAUGUAAACAUACCCUCAUUGACACCCCCACCAUCACGGGCAAUUGCACAACGAAGAAUCGAUAGGGGAGCACCUGAAGCCUAGACUUGGCCGUAUUCGAAGUCACCAACAUGCUCUCUCAAUUGAGCUUAGGCCGAGACGGAGCUGAGGCAAUCAAGAGCUCUGAGAUGAGCUCGCUUCAGUUAUGAGCUUGCCAUCCAUUUCACGGCGACUUCUACUCAAAGUGAGAAACAGAGUUAUCAGUAAUUAGCAAGUAUAGUGAACAGUAAUCAAAAUUAUCAUCUUGCUGGUCAUGACAUGUAAGAUGAUUAGCAAUGAUUAGACCACCAUGAUAGAAGGGGUUAUUUGGUCAGAAAUAUUUUAUUGUAAUACGAUGAUCCCAAGAUAUCAGUUGUAAGCACACCCAUUUGCUAGUUACGUUAUCAUCACGUAUCCAAUUCUUUUAAGUCUUUUAAGUCAUAACACUUUCUUUUUUUUUUUUGCAGAGUGAAAUUUUUUUAUGUAACUAGAGAAAGAUAAUUGGCUCAAUAAAUAGACUUCAGUACAUAAAACAUCCCAAAAAGCUUGGGGAGAAGAUAAGACAUUAUAUAAGUGCACAAAUUAGAAACACCUGAGAAACGGGCUAGACUUAGAACAAAGGAGUCACAAAGCUCUACCAAAUUACGACACAUUAUUUUUAUGAUGCAAACACAAAACGAAGUUUCUAUUUCAAGACCUAAAAAUUGUCUUCCCUCACACUAUGCGACCAUGUUACAAACAGAAGUCCACAAACAAAAACAAAAGAAAGGAAAAUGAACCAGAUUCAAAUAUGAGUCCUCCUCAAGAUGAUCGGCGCCCCAUACCGAGGCUGUAAGGUCACAAGAGGCAUCGGAGCAUGAACAUACGAAGGCGACACCUCAAAGGUGAAUCGCCUAACCAGCAUGGCCAGAACAACCUUGGCCUCGACCAUGGCCAAGUUCUGGCCUACGCAGGUUUUGGGGCCGAGCCCGAACCCGAGGAACGCGGCCAGGUGGUUCCGGGGCUUCGUGAAUCUUGUUGGGUUGAACUCAUCCGCGUCUUCGCCCCACAUCUCGGGGUCGCGAUGCACAGUAGAGAAGGCCAAGUAGAGCUCCGUUUUUGCUGGAAUUUGAAGGUCUCCUAGCUGCACAUCUUCAAGGGUUUGCCUCGUCACUGUCACCACAGGAGGGUACAGUCUGAGUGUUUCAUUCAAUACCAUCGUUACCUGUUCAAAAAAAUAACAUAAGCAAGAUGUAAGUUUGAGUGAACACAAAAUGUUUAAUUUUUCCGUCAGACUAAAUUUUCAAAACUUAGGCAAAUGGAGUGGUGAAAUAGGUUAUUAGGAAAAUUUGCGCCAGUCGAAUUCCAGUUGAUAGCAGUGAGCAUGUUCAAAUAGUGAAUUUAGCACAUUAGAUUGACCCCAAUCGAAGAAUGAGCUCGCUAAGCGAUACUCAUACAAUUAAUCUGGACUGUGCCUCCAUGCAUAAUAUAACAAACAUUGGAAGAUAGUCCAUGUCAUGUACAAUUUCUUCUUAUAUAGGUAGUAAGUGAGACAAUUUAAACUUCUUGCUUGAAUGUGCACAGAAGUUCUUCAUCACACACAUCAGACUAUUAAAUUACCACCAUCUCAUUCUUGGAUUGGUCCCGCGGAUUUGAUGAUGGAGUUGCAAACCUUUUCUUCCAUCUAAGAAGCUAGCCAAAGCUCGACAAACGAUGAAUUUUUUGUAUAAGACAGUAAACCCAUGAAGAAAAACUAAACGGGUCUGUUUGUAGUAAUGUGACUAGCGAGGAAUAGUGAUUGACUUACAAUCUUGAGCUCGUUCAGAUUUUCAGCACCCGGUAGCCCGGUUUUCCCGCUGACGCGGAUCACUUCUUCCCGGGCCUUGUCCUGCCAUUCCUGGUGCUUCGCCAGGAGGAGAAGCGCCCAAGUGAGAAGCAUGGCCGUCGUUUCUUUUCCCGCGAAGUAAAAAGUCUUGCAUUCGUCUAUGACUUCCUCCACUCCUAAUCUUUCUUCUUCGUGGGAUGAUGUUAGGAGAGCGAGAAAAUUGGACAAAUUCUCUCUCGAUUUCAAGUUGUUCUCAAUCAGCUUCAAGACCGCGUGCCGGAUUUCCUUCUCUAUUCUCCAUCUCUGCCUGUUCUUCCGAGUCGGUAGGAACCUGUGUAUUGAGUGAAACAUGUGAUGGUCUAAUCUUCCAUGGAUAUGAAGACUCCGGUGAGAGCUAGAGAGAUAGUUUAGGACUGCUCUAAAAAAUAGAAAGGUAAUAAUUCGUGAUUAAACAAGACACAUCAUUGAAUCAUGACUUUUCCUAGAAAUAAGAUCAAGAAUGACUUCUUAGAAAUAGAAACGAUGCCACAUACGUCCUUAGAUAUAAUUUGUACAUAUGUAACAACUGAGAAUGUGAGUGGAGUAAAUUUUUUUAUUGCCUGAAAUGGAGCAACUUAAAUUAGACCUGAAGCCAGGAAUGUAAAUGUUCUGGUUGGCUUGAGUGAAGAGGUGCAUCUGCUGCUCUUGCAAGGCGAAUAUGCGCUUGCCCUCUUCGAAGCUGCUCCCGAAAGCAGUCCUCGAGAUGACGUCAGCCGAGAGCCCUUGUAGUUCCUUAAACACCUCCACCUCGAACUCCUCUCUUUCUCCUCGCAUCUUGUCCCACGUGUCCAGGAUCUUGGCCGCACUCGCCACGAUCUCCGGGAUCCACCCCUACUCAAAAUGAAAGGAAACGCAUGCUGUGAAGUCCGUCCAGUGGUAGACGUGAUGAAGAAAACCGCUCGCAGUGCAAAAGAGCAGUUGAUCUUCGCCAAAUUGCCAAUGACUGUACGGCAAUUUAAAGAACAUAAAACUAGCUUCUGCUUGGUUUACUCACUGCCAUUUUCAGAUUACAUUUGCAUCAUGACCUCUUUUACCACAGAAUGCGCAAUCCCUUGCUCCAAAGCUUCAACUUUCAGAGUUGCAAUGUUAAAGCUUUCAUUUUUAGUAUUGAAAACAUAUCCCGAGUCUAAACCUGUAAAGGAAACCCCAAUUCAAGAAGUUCUAGUUUGAGUAAGGUUUCUAAAAGGGUUCCUAUUUUGGAUCAAAAUCUUUUCUAUAUAAGAAAUUGGUCUUCUUUGUGAAUCGCAUGUAAGGGGAGCUUUCGAUGUUCAAGCUUUUAAAGCAAGGAAUUAUGAGGCUAAAUAUCGUUUAAGUUAUUGGGAGUAAUUAAGGGCCGGAAAACACUAUGAGUUUGAGUAAAUCAAGUGCUUUUAGUAAUUUUUAUUACAUCAUUUGAUUUAUAGUAGAAUCAUGUACCGCUCUCCUGUAGAGUAGGUCCCACCAACCGAAACAUCCUCUAGUGGACUCAUCUUUGCAGAUGUGUGUUCGAUCUCCUCGUUGAAAUGGAUGUAACAUGGGUUUUGCUUUAUUUGUGGUACAUGGGGUUGUGUUUGCAAAUCCUUAGGGAGCGAUUAAAGGUGUAGAUAUAAUUAGUAUCCUAAUAAGGUCUAGGGAGUUGGCUUGAAAGAUUUUUAUGGCGGUCUUUCCCAUCACGGGUUGUGGGAAGAGUAGCGGCAAAGUCCAAAUUCUAAGAAGAGAUUGUUGAGCCAACAUGGAGAUUGUUGAAAAUCUAUCUUGAAUUUGUUUCCUUAAAGGAAAUUCAAUUCAAGUAGGACUCCUAAUUUGAGUAGAUUUCCUAGUUGAAUGAUUUUUUAGUUUGAGUGGUUUCCUAAUAAGAGUACAUUUCCUAAAAGGAGCUUCCUUUGUUGGAUCCCAAACUUUUCUAUUUAAGAAGCGGUCUUCUUUGUGAAUCGCAUCAAAAAAGAGCUUUUUGGUGUUCAAGCCAAUAAAUCUUGUGGUAAAUUUCGUAAAUUUCUUUAUGAGAUUGAAAUAUUACUUCACGAGAAAUUACAAGGACUAAACGCCAUGUAAAUUAUUUAGUGUAAUUAGGGGCUAGGAAAUAGUGAGAUGUUUGAGUAGUUCGAGUAUGGUUGUACUCUCUAUUGUGUUGCUCGAUCUAUUGUGGAAUGCAAUGCUCUCCUCAGAGACUGGGUCUUGCUAAUUGAAUAACGUAUAUCUAAAAUCCGAUUUAUUUUCUUGUUCCGUUUCUUUAUUGUUUGAUUCUUUGUUUUUUCGUAACAUUACAUAUUACUUUGCAGUGUGUUGGGUUGUGCAAGACUAAGAUGUUGUGUUCAUAAAUCACGUCAAACAAUGACAUGGUAUGUAUGCGAUGACAAAUUGAUAAUUUAUACUGCCUCCGAUACUCACCUUAACUCUCUCCAUAGUAAAGGCCUGGUUAGCGAUCCGCCGGUGAAUGGCCCACUUCUCGCCCACUAGCCCAACAAGACCUUGCCCGAACAGCUCCCGAGCCUGUGGGUUGAACUCGACCUGGUCGUACAACCUGCCAGUAUUCGUCAGGACCUCCUUGAUCAUGUCCGGGUCCGAGAUGCCCAGCAUAGGCCUCGACCCGAACCAAUAUACAAAAGUCCUCCCGUACUUGAGGGACCAGUGGUGGAAGAAAGGAGCCACCCUGUGCAGGAUCCUGUGGUCGAACGGCAUAGGCUUCGACUGAGCCUCUGUGAAAAGGCGUUUGAUCUCCGCCGUGUUGCCAAGGAUCGGACGGUAGCCGGGCCCCCGGACGCCUUGCUUUGUGAAGUGGCGCUGUAGCUUUAGCGGGGUAAAGAGAUUGGAGUAUGUGAAUUUCGAGAGGAGGAUGAGGAUUAGCAAGAGGACUGAAACCAGAAGCCAUGGCAUCGUCGGAGGGGGGCGGGGGGUGGAGAAUGAGAGGUUCACAAGGGGUUGGAAAGAUAUGGAGUAAAAUGGGUCUUAAAUAGAGGUUAGGUCAAACUGUUAUGCUUUUUCCAAAUAAUUUUGUGGUUUUGCGAUGAAAAAUUAUUUGCGAGUGCUUUCAGUACUUUUUAAUCAUGUCUAAUGAAGAAUUAUUUGCAUUUACAAUAUAUUAAUUAUAAAUAAGAGAAAGACGGUCUUCCGUAAAUGAAAAAGGUCCUUUAAUGGGGCACCUGUUAAACACCCUUGUAACAAAAGCUUGUGGUUUUUAAUAUACUCUUGUGUUAUGUGUGAUCAAUUGAAAAUAGAGAUGUAAUCAAGUCGAGUUACUUGCAAAUAGCUCAGACUCGACUCAAUGAUGAUUGUAUUGAGGUAAAGCGAUCUUCAAAAGGACAAUAUUAUAUAUAUAAUGUAAGAUAAGUGAGAAUGAUGAGAAAAGAGGUGAUAAGACAAAAAUGGAAAUGGCUUUCAAGAUCUCAAAUCUUUCCGAAUUGAAAUCUCGAGCCUCCAAUUUUCCAUGAAAGAGGAUGGAGUGCAUGCUAGGCUGAUAGUGAAAGUUCACCUACUCACGUACGAAAAAGAUGAAAUUUUUAAAAGACAACUUUCUUAGGUUUACGCUUAGGAAAAUGAAAUGGUGACAGCAUCAUUACUUUCUAGAGACUCCCACCACAAAUUUUCUCAAAGAAACCGAACAAAUUCCUGAGAAAAUUGUGAAUCCACAGACGAAGUGGAUUCUUUUAAAUUAAAAUAUUAAAAAAUUAAGAAAAUAAAAAAAAAAAUCUUUAUUACAACCUCUAGCUCUAUAUGCAACCUUAAUAAGUUCUAACUUCUUUUUUUUGCCAGUCAGAUGGUGAUUACAGGCUGCUCUACCUUAAACCUUCGCAAUCCUAGUGGAUUAAAAUUUAUGAUUUGGAUCGACUGAUGUAGGAGACUUAUGGUAGUCACAAUAUGGAGUAUUUGUGCUAAUCCCCGUUUUCAUCCUUUUAUCCAUAAAAAGAAAAUGAAUAUCUUUUCUCCAGAAACGAGUUUAAUUACAAAGAGCUUAUCUUGUUUGGUUCAUAUGAACUUAUAAUUUGGGUCAAUUAUGUAUGGUCUAAACAAAAGAAAAAGCAAAAAAAAAAAAAAUGGGGAUUAACGCAAAUACUCCAUAUUGUAAACAAAAGAAAAGGCAACAAAAAUGGGAAAUCAAAGAUUGGCUUGUGUUUCAAUUUGUUACAAUACAUAAAUAUUGAUACAAAUAUCUAGAUAUAACUUUUAGUAAUCUCUUAAAAUUUAAAUAAUGUUUUAGAUUUGAUGAGAAAGUGAAAAAGUUAAUUUUGACUUUUAAUGAAUGUGGAUGAACAACUGUAAUAGAAAUUAACAUAUAAGUGAAUUAACAUAACUGGAAUUAAUAUAAAUUGCAUCACCAUCAAAGACACCAACCAUAGAAAAGCACUUCACCCGCCUAUUAAUAUUUCGUGUUCAAAACGGGAGCAUAUUUUUUUUAGAGAUCACGUGGAACACGCAUUGUUCCAUUAUUGAAUUAAUUAAUGUAGGCUAAUUUUAUAGAAUAUACAUUUAGAUUCCUCAAGUCAAAAAAAUUGAUGUUGACUUUUGAUGAAUGUGGACUUUUGAUGAAUGUGGACGACAGUAAUAAAAAUUAACAUAUAAGUCAAUUAACAUAAUUUAAAUUAAUAUAAAUUGCAUCAUCAUCAAAGACACCCACCAUCUUUACCCAACUAUUAAUAUUUCAUGUUCAACACAGGAAGUGUAUCUUGUUGAGAGAUCACGUGAAACAUGCAUUGUUCCAUUAUUGAAUUAAGUAAUGUAGGCAUAUAUUAUAAAAUAUACAUUUAGAUUCCUCCAAGGAAUUUGUGGCCAACAAGUCUCCACGAAAGAUAAUGGCGACCGUUGGGAUUGCGGUGCCUUGAUUUUGAGCUUAUCACUGGCAAAACCAAGUGGAAAAAAGAAGGUUAGGGAUAGGUUCAACGAGGAUGAUUGUCUCUUUUAUGUGAGGUUUCACAAAUUUUGCAAGGCCGAUCCUCUCACGUGAUCAUACGAUCAGAUGGGUUCCAUGUGAGCCCAUCUCAUUGGUGCAUGCUGACUGCAAAAGAGCAACCAAGAGCAUUUCCUACAUGCCCAUUUCCUACUGCAAAAGAGCCACAUUAGCACUUACAUGUCCAUUGCAUCUUUCGGGCUACUGAGGAGGGAGACGAGUCCUAUGAUGGCCAAAAGGAGGACGUGAACCGAUCGGCUUGCCAUCAAGCAUAAAAGGUUCUCAGUAAGUGAACUGCCGGUCGUGUCAUAUACAAUGUUGGGAUGCCAAAUCACAAGCUACAAAAAACAUGUAUAUCUAGUACCGACGGCGGGCAAUAGAUAAUUUUCAACAAGAAUUUUUUUCUCCCAUAAUUCAUUCGUUUUGCCUGAAAGAUUCCAAGAGAUGUCGCCAGCCACUUUAGACUUCAUGUGCCUAGGAGUGAUUCAUGUCAUAGUAUAGCCCUUCUUCUGACAAAGUGAUUCCGCCGGAUCCUCCAUCUAAUGCAUCCGAAAAUGCAUCUAAUCCCAAAUGCAAUCUCCACAAGCGUUAAGAAAACCUAUACAGAGUCAAUUCAUCCAAGAAUACGAUGCCUCGGCACAAGGACAUAAAUACAGCUAAUAUUACCUAUGUGGACUCGGACAUAAGCAAAUCUUAUAAGUGACCGCUAUGUACCCCAAUCAUCCUUUAGAAAAACCGGAUUGCCGCGGUGGAAAUAGACUGAGUUUUUCCAUAAGCACAUUAAUGGGUUUUUACACUGGAUUAUCCAAGAUUACAAUUACAGAGAAUAAAACAUAAAUAGCACAAAAUUUGACCAGGCAAAACCAAUCACGAGCGGCAGGUGUUGAAGAUUUCGCCUCGCAUCAUGUCGAUAGGCAUGUGUUCCGGAGUGUGACGUUCUGGACCAAGAUAAAGACCUGUUUCUCCAAGAAAGCCAGCCCUUCAUCCCUGCCGUAUUUCGAACUAUAGAGCUUCAAGUAUUCAUAGUCCUAAAAAAGCACAAAGACACGUCUUUUAGAAUAUGCAGUUACACAUCAGAUUAAGAAGUUCAACACCAAGCCUAUCAAAGAGCCAACUUUCAAGCUAAAACAUGGCACGCAUCUUUCUGUAUCAUACUACAGCCUCGGUCAAACACUACGACCCUAGCAAACACAUAACUAAUGCCUAAUUGGAUGGAAAAGAUGCAAAUUUUCGUUAGAGCAGGUGAAGAGGCAAAAAAGUGCUUUCCAUCAAGGGACGGAUCAAACCAAUGGCACCUCUCAAAGGCUUGUAUACAAUGGCACCUCUCGAUUUUAACUAUGAAAUUUAAUUCAAUUUAGGGUAUCGAACUUUCAAGAAUUUCAAAACUAAUUUAUUGAAUGUCGCGUCAUUUAUCUGUGAAUUAUCGUCAAGUUUAAAAGUUUUUGGAAAAGAAAUUAUCGAACAAAAAUUGGAAGCCGGAAAGGGAACCAAGACCAGUGGCAAAGUUGUGAAUUUUGGCCAAAAUCUUGGCUUUAAAGAAAAUGAAAAACGAAAAGAAGAUAAGGGGAACAAAAUGCUAUGAUAUGAGGAUUUAGGGAGAGUGGGUGAAGAGAAAUUAUAAGUUUUUGGAGAAAAAUCUCUCUCUCUCUCUCUCUCUCUCUCUCUCUCUCUCUCUCUCUCUCUCUCGACUUCAUUUUCAUCUUCAUCUCAUUCUUCUUCUUCCCCCUCCUCUCAAAGACCACCGCCAUCACCACCUUUGUUGCCACCAUCUACCCGUGCAUUUUCAUCUUCAUCUCAUUCUUCUUCUUCCCCCUCCUCUCAAAGACCACCGCCAUCACCACCUUUGUUGCCACCAUCUACCCGUGUCGUCCACCGCCCAUCCGUCAAGCUACAGUGCCGCCGUUAUUUUGCUGUUUCCGUAACCAAACCACCACCAUUGUCGGUGCACUAUUUGAAAGGAAAUGAGGUAUCGAGAGAAGAUCAAGAGAAUUCUGUAGGAAUUGUGUUCUCAUUGUAUUGAAUCAAUGUACAAUGCUCUGUAAAUAUAAUACAAGAUUGAUGUAAUAAAGGGAAGAAAAGGUUUGUAUAAACGAUUGACAUCAAUUCCUAACUAAUUUAUACACAAAUACAAUCGACCGAGAUUCCUUCUAAGUAUGUCUUCGGAAUCCAUCCAAUGCAUAUCUUCCAACACUCCCCCUCAAGCUGGUGGCUGGUAGAUAUCCAAGACGCUAAGCUUGCUUAAUAGAUAUGCAUGUUGUCUCUGACAUAGAGGUUUGGUAAAGAUGUCGGCAGGCUGUUCUACGGUUCCAAUCCCUCUUGUUUCAACUAUCCCUUGCUGAAUUUUCUCACGAGUGAAGUGACAAUCCACUUCUAUAUGCUUUGUUCUCUCGUGAACUAUGGGAUUCGCUGCAAGUUUGAGUGCCGCAUCAUUGUCGCAAAACAAUUUUGUUGGACCCUUUAAUUUGACUCCUAGAUCCCGAAGUAUUCCUCUUAUCCAUACGAUCUCACAAGUAGUCUUUGCCAUAGCUCGAUAUUCUGCUUCAGCUGAAGAUAAGGAUACGGUUGCUUGCUUCUUGGUCUUCCAAGAAAGAAGUGAUUUUCCAAGCUUAAUGCAAAAACCUGUGAUGGAUCUCCGGCUCAUAGGACAAGUCGCAUAGUCUGCAUCACAAUAUGCUGACAUUUCCAUCUUGCAUUUCCUGGAUAAGAGAAUCCCCAGUCCUGGACAGCCUUUCAAGUAUUUCACAACUUUUAAGGCAGCAUUCAUAUGAGAUAAUUUUGGACUAUGCAUAAACUGACUGAGGGUUUGUACUGCAUAUGAGAUAUCUGGUCUAGUCAUUGUCAGGUAUAUGAGUUUCCCAACAAGUAUUUAAUAACUCGAAGGAUCCUUAAGAACAGGAUCAUGAUUUUCUGAUAUCCCUUCAUCAUAGUCCUUGGUAGUCAAUUUUGUGUUUUGCUCAAUUGGAACGACCGAGGGUUUGCAUCCGGAUAAACCUGCUUUAGAAAUGAUUUCUAACACGAAUUUCCGUUGACUAAGAGAAAUCCCCUGAUCAGAUCGAGCAAUUUCAAUACCAAGGAAAUAUUUUGGUGCUCCCAGAUCCUUGAUAUGAAAAGUGGAAUGCAAGUACUUUUUGAAUCUCUUCAUUGCACUUUCAUCAUUGCCCAUGAUAAGGAUAUCAUCUACAUAAAUCAGCAGGUAGAUUGAUGACAUACCUUGACUCCAUGUGAAUAAGGCAUAAUCAUGUCUGGAUUGAUUGAAUCCUGUAGAUAUAAGGGCAUCGGCAAAUUUUGCAUACCACUGCCUAGAAGCCUACUUGAGACCAUAAAGGGAUUUGCAGAGACAACAUACUAUAUUCUCCCCCUGUCUCCGUAAACCUUGAGGAAUUUCCAUGUAUAUCUCCUCAUCUAAGUCUCCAUGAAGAAAAGCAUUAUUCACAUCCAUUUGAUGUAAAUGCCAAUCAUUGAUAGCAGCAACAGAGAGAAAUGAUCUUACAGUUACAUCCUUGGCUACUGGGGAAAAAGUCUCAUGGUAAUCGAAACCUUCCCGUUAAGUAAAUCCCUUAGCCACCAACCGAGCUUUGUAACGCUCUAUGGAACCAUCAGCUUUGUAUUUGAUUUUGUAGACCCAUUUGCAUCCAAUCGGCUUUCGGUUUGGAGGCAAUGUAACGAAAUCCCAGGUUUGAUUUGCAAUCAAAGCCUUCAAUUCGGCUUCCAUAGCUUCUUGCCAUUUGAGGUCAGUAACAGCUUGUUCAUAAUUGGAUGGUUCGUUGUCCUCCGAUAUCCGACUAACACAACAUCUAUGUUUCGGCGAAAGUUUAUGAAACGAAACAUAAGAUGAUAGUGGAUAAUGAAUACCUGGUGAGUUGAGAGUGGCGCACACAUAAUCCUUUGUCCAGGCUGGCGGACGUACAGAACGCCCAGACCGUCGAGGAUAAUCCACUUGCAGUGGAGCGGGUGAUGAAGAUUCUUGCGCAUCCACUAGUGUUGGGACAGGAUAUGGAGGUGAUAUAUCUUCAAUCACAACUUCUGCUUCAGUUGGUGAUUGAUUCUCAUGGACUGGACUUGCAGCAUCAUCUAAUGGAGAACUCUCAUAUGGAUGGUGGGUCAUGACGGGAUGUUUUGUCAGAAUAAAUCCAUUAUCAGUUGGAUCUUCUAUGGAAUGAGUUGAAUGCCAUGAGAUCUCUUAUGUUUCCUUCGAGGAAUCCUGGUUAUGGAAUGGAAAAAUGUCUUCAUGAAAAUGGACAUCUCUGCUAAUAAAGAAUUCCCAAGUCGUCUGAUCCAGAACACGAUACCCUUUCUGCAAAUUUGGGUAUCCCAUGAAGAUGCAACGCCUGGCCCGUGGGCCCAUUUUAUCGCGGGGUGAUAAUACCGUUGCAUAACACAGACACCCGAAAAUUCGUAGGUGUUGUAUUUCUGGCUGUCUUUUGAAAAGCAACUCAAAUGGAGAUUUUCCAUUGAGUACUCGCGUGGGCAUGCGAUUAAUGAGAUAUGCCGCAGUCAGGAUACAUUCACCCCAAUAUUCUUCUGGAAUGGACGCUUGAAACUUUAAAGCUCUUCCAACUUCUAGGAGAUGAUGGUGUUUGCGCUCCACUACCCCAUUGUGUUGUGGGGUAUAUACACAGGAACUUUCGUGGAGGAUCCCACUGGAUGAAAGAAGGGAAUUGCAAUCAUUGCUGAAGAAUUCUUUCCCAUUGUCUGUCCUCAUGCGCUGAAUAGAUUUUCCAAAUUGAUUUUUGGACAAGGCAAUGAAGUUUCUCAAAUUUGAGAAAACCUGUCCCUUGGACUGCAUCAAGAAAACCCAUGUGGCACGAGAAUAAUCAUCCACAAUUGUUAAAAAAUAUCUUGACCCAUCAUGAUUCUGUGUAUGGUAGGGACCCCAGAUAUCGACAUGGAUCAGUGAAAAAAUAUCAAGUGCACGAUUUUGACUAGAGGGAAAAGGAAUACGAGACUGUUUUGCAAGGGGGAAUAUUUGACAUUUAGAAUAAGGGAAAAAAGUACUAUGACCCAAUCUUGAAUGCAUAAGGAAUUCUUUAUCAUUGGUAGUUGCAUUACACAAUGACUUUUUAUUUAAAAAUAUAUAUGACAAAUCAAGAUUACUUGGGAAAUUUUUCCAAAGGAACAGUCCUUCAGAGAGACUACCAAUGCCCAUCACUUUGCUAGUCGAAAGGGCCUGAAAAAAACAAGUGUCAGAAUCAAACUGUAUACGGCAGGAAUUUUCUUUACAGGCUUUGGAGACAGAGACAAGGUCGAAUCAAAAUUCUGGGACAUAAAGCACAUUUGUGAGAGUAAUUUGGGGACUAAGUUGGACUUUCCCUGUAAUUGCAACAUAAGUAAUAGUGCCAUUGGAUAAUUGCACAGAAAUGGGAAAAUCCAAUUUCGCAUUUAUUUCUGAAAAAAAUGCCUUAUCACAAACUAUGUAAUCACUGGCUCCAGAGUCAAUUAUCCAAUUAUUUCUUGAGAUACUGUUGACUAAGCAGCGAGAGAUACCUGAAAAAUUCCCCCCUUUGUUGGUGGUGUCCAAUUUAUUCAUGGCCUGCAUUAGUUGUUGAUAUUGCUCAUAUGUAAUAGAUUUAUCAACAUGGGACCCACUAACUUGAUUGGCUGCAGAAAAUUCUUUUUUUCUCCCCAUUUCUCCAAGUUUGCCGUGUAACUUCCAACAAUUCUCAAUCGUAUGGUGCGGCCGACGACAAAAUUUGCAAUAUAAUUUACCUUUUCCUUUAGAAAAUUUUUUCGCAUAUGCCGAAAAAAUCCCACCGUCGGAUCCUUUCCCGCUCGCCUCAUCUCCACCGUCCGAUCCAGCGAAGUGGAUCAAGCCUUUCUGGCCGUUAGAUCGUCGCGGAUGAUCUGGACCGCCCAUCCCUUCAUUUUUAAGGGUGCAUCCCUCAUCAAUCCGGAACCCUAGCGCCUCCUGCAUCCCCCCUUUUCGUGCGCUAGGGUUUUGGCUCCUGGAUCUCGUGGCGGAUCUCGCCGUUCUCCUCGGCUCACGAGAGCGAAACUUCCUGCUCCCUUCGUCGGCUCCGAGGAUGCGAGUCUCUGGCUCUCUUCCUGGACGGCGAAUUGGAAGAUUCGCCCGAGUGGUGGCGCGGGCUCCAUGGCCAAGAUCUGGGACCGAAAACUCAGGUACGAUUCGUUCAGUAUAAGGAGAAAUCAGGUUGCCUUUUCCCUUUCUUUUAUGGAGCGAUAUUGUGCAAGAGUCGCCUCUGGUCCUUCAAGCCUUUCUUCCGCGGCUUCGAGAUCGUUCCAUAAGGAUGAUAAUUUGUUAUAACAGGCCGCCGCGGUCAUGUUCCCUUGUUUUAAAUCGCUGAGUUCCUGCAAAAGGGAAAAAAUUCGUGCCCGAUCUAACUUUCCGUACAUCUAUUUGAUGUUGUCCCAUAUGGUUUUCGAGUCUUCUGUUGGUGGUAGGCCAGCGGCAACCUCUGGAGAAAUGCAAUUGUCGAUCCAUGUCCUUACGAGCUGGUUGCACUUUCUCCAGAAUCGAGCCAGGCGUUCAUCGGCAGGAAUCGGAACCGCCCCGUCGAGGAAUCCAUCUUUGUCCUUCGUCACGAGGGCGCACCGGAAGUCUCGAGCCCACCUGUGGUAAUUCUUCGGUCCGGUCAACUGUAAGUUGAUUAGUUUCAAUUCAGGGCCGUCGGCCGUUGAGACAUGCAGGGGGUCACCCAGCUCUGGUCGCCCGGUGACGGCAGUGACGGGGAAUGGCAUGAAUCCGGGUGCAAGAUUCGAGUAGGGAUUCGUUCCUUGACCCGAUUCGUUUGAGCCGAAUUGAUAACCCGCAUUUGAAAAUCCCGGGUAGGGAUUCGUUCCCAUACCCGGUUCUCCAGACCCACUUCCAGACCCGAUUACCUGCUCCACUCCGGGGUUCGAGUUUGCCCCAUUCACGGUUGGUAGACUCCCCUCGGAUUGGACGUGGGCUCCUUGGUGGCCCACAUGAACAGGCGAUAAUGUAUUCGGGCUUGCCCCGAGAUACCAUGGGUAAGGUAUCCACUGGAACGGUUGACCCGCAAAGGGUUGCCCCAGUCCGAACUGAGCCUGUGUGGGUCUCCAUUGAAUCGGUUGAUUUUGGAGUGUUUGUUGUUGCGUUUCUGCAGGAGAAUCUUGGAUCUGCAAUGGUGGUGAAGCAUCUGGGGUGGACUGGUUAUCAGCCAUAGAAAAUUCAGAGGCUGAAGGUAAGGAUAAAAAAACAGAAGCUCUUUUCUUCUUUCUCGAGAGUGGUUCCUAUCACAGAAGGUAGAUCUGUUGAGUUAUUUCAAAUCUCCUUUGGCAGGCAACCAGGAGCGGAAGCGAGGAAAAGAAUCAGAAGCCGAAGCUCUGAUACCAUGAAAGGAAAUGAGGUAUCGAGAGAAGAUCAAGAGAAUUCUGUAGGAAUUGUGUUCUCAUUGUAUUGAAUCAAUGUACAAUGCUCUGUAAAUAUAAUACAAGAUUGAUGUAAUAAAGGGAAGAAAAGGUUUGUCUAAACGAUUGACAUCAAUUCCUAACUAAUUUAUACACAAAUACAAUCGACCGAGAUUCCUUCUAAGUAUGUCUUCGGAAUCCAUCCAAUGCAUAUCUUCUAACACUAUUGCCCAAGCCAAGCCAAGCCCAAGCUUGGCCAUGGGUUUUGAGGGGCCGCCGUUGCCACGCCACCUUCACCAUCGCUUGUCCGCACCAUCACCAUUCACCGUCCUCACCAUUGCCGCAAGCCACCAUCGAAUGCCCCUCCUUCCCUAGCCAAGCCAUGGGUCUUAAGUGCUGAGCCACCACUGUUUGUGCCACCGCUCGAGUCGUGAGCCCUGUGUCCUUGACGCCGUCACGCCGCCAUCGCCACAAGCUCACCACCGCUGGAAAACUACAAGUUAACUGCUAAUCUUUGAUUAUGAAAUCAAUUGCGUUUAGAGUUAGAAUUAGUUUAGGGAUAAUGGUAGUUAGUAGCCUAAAAUGAUGGUUUAUCCCUAAUUAUGGUUAAGGGUGGAUUAGAUUAAGGCUAAUAGAUGUUAGUCUUAAUUAAGAAUGGUUAUUUUAAUUAAUUAUGGUAGUCUAAUUAAGCAUGAUUAGCUUAAUUAAUCAUAAUCGGGUCAAUUAAUUAUAUUUAGUUUAAUUGAUCACAAUUAGAGUAAUUAAUGACGGUUAGUCUUGAUAAAGUAAAGUUAGAUUAAUUAAUAAAACUAGUUUAAUUAAUCGCGAUUAAGGUAAUUAAUCGAUGUUAGCUUAAUACUAAUUAAUCGUGUUAGUGGAAAUUAAUGAUGGAUUAGUCAUCAAGUAUAAUUUUAUGGUCGCUUCAUUGGAUGAAUUUAUACAUAAUUUUGAUUGUUUGAGCUUGUAAUGCCAUGAUAUUUGGUUGCCCAAAUAAUGUAUUUUAAAUGCUAUUUUCAAAAAUGUUUUAUUGAUAAGAAAACAACAAACUUAGGAGUGUCGUAUUUGGACGCCGUGUUUUAGUGCCAAAUGGGGCAAUGGAGAUUUAAAAUGAAAGCGAGCAAAGUUUGAUGUGUUGAUUUGAAGUACAUGACCACGUGCGAUUAUUUUAUUAUAAUUUUAACAGUAAAAAUUUCCGAGAUAUGUUAUUUGAACACGAACCACAUCUGCAUUGGCUAAGUCAAAAGAUAAAAUUUGCUUGAGUGGUUGAGUGUUCGUGUGGUUACAUAAUGGCCCCAAUGUGUAUGAUUAUGGGGGGUAAUGGUUCCAUCUUGAUGCGUAUGAAAAUGCGAGACAAUACCCGAUUUUUAUCAAAUGCCUAGUAGGAGUUCGAAUGCUAAGUCACAGUUGAGACCAAACCGAAGCUCCUAAUGGAAUGUCAUCCUGAUGCGUAUGAGUACGCAAGGCGUUGUCAUACCCGAUGGGAUGGGACGAUGCCCGGUCAUACCGAAAGACUGUCAACUCUUGUAUUGACUGUGUCCCAAGUAGUCGUAAUAAUUGGAAUAAAUGUGUUGACAACACGAUGAAAUUUAUAGAAUGUGUUCGGAUUAUUGUUUAUACUUGUUGCAUUGACAUUGCCAUAUUUGAUAUACUAAUGUGCAGGGGUGUGUGAAGGUGAGGUAAGUUUAUAUAUCAUGCGCGUUUAGGCCUUUUUCGAGAUGAAUUCGCAUCUUAGUCGAGGCUUAAGCUAUUAACUCGCUGAGAUUUUACCUCACUCCGUUGUUGACUUUUCAGGCCGUAGUGAUGGAACGCCCUGAUCGUUUUUGGGUCCCCAUGUCUUUUGAGUGGGAUGUGACAGAGUAUGCCAUCGAGGGGACCAAGACGACAGUCGCGAAGCACACCACCACCUUCUGGGUGCAAGAGGGCCUAGACCUCCUAGUUCACCAUCGUUUCGUAGCUUGGUUCAUCAAGUUUGACGAGGAUCUCCUUGGUCCUUUCCCAAGGAUCAAUGGUCUCUUGUAGUGGACUAAUGCCGGUGUGGAAAUCACCUUUUUAGAUGGCUGUACUCUCUAUUGUGUCGCUCAAUUUAUCAUGGAAUGCGGUGCUCUCCUAUUAGACUAGGCCCCACCAAUUGAAUAAUGUAAAUCUAAAAUCCAAUUUAUUUUCUUGUUUUGUUUCUUUUAUUGUUUGAGUGUUUGUUUUUUUCGCAACGUUUCAUAUUACUGUGCAGUGUGUUGGGUUGUGUAGGACUAAGAUGUCGUGUUCAUAAAUCAAGUCAAACAAUGACAUGGGAUGUAUGCGAUGACAAUUUGAUAAUUUAUACUACCUCCAAUACUCACCUUAACCCUCUCCAUAGUAAAGGCCUGGUUAGCGAUGAACAGCCCACUUCUCGCCCACCAGCCCAAAAAUGCCUUGCCCCGAACAGCUCUCGAGCCUGCGGGUUGAACUUGAUCUGGUCAUAUGACCUGCCCGUAUUUGUAAGGACCUCCUUGAUCAUGUCCGGGUCCGAGAUGCCCAGCCUAGGCCUCGACCCGAACCAAUAAGUCCUCUCAUACUUGAGGCCCCAGUGGUAGUAGAAAGGAGCCACCCUGUGGAGGAACCUGUGGUCGAACGGCAUGGGCUUCGACUGAGCCUCCACGAAUAGGCGGUUGAUCUCUGCCAUGUUGCCAAGGAUCGGACGGUAGCCGGGCCCCCGGACGCCUUGCCUUGUGAAGUGGCGCUGUAGCUUUAGCGGGGUAAAGAGAUUGGAGUAUGUGAAUUUCGAGAGGAGGAUGAGGAUUAGCAAGAGGACUGAAACCAGAAGCCAUGGCAUAGUUGGAGGGGGGAGGGAGGUGGAGAAUGAGAGGUUCACAAGGGGUUAAAAAGAUACCGAGUAAAAUGGGUCUUAAAUAGAGGUUAGGUCAAACUGUUAUGCUUUUUCCAAAUAAUUUCGUGGUUUUGCGAUGAAAAAAAUAUAUAAUAUAUUGGGGUUUCAUUAGCGUGUGCUUUCAGAGUACUUUUUAAUCAUUUCUAAUGAAGAAUUAUUUGCACUUACAAUAUAUUAAUUAUACAUAAGAGAAAGACGGUGUUCCGUAAACGACAAAGGUUCUUUAAUGGGGCACCUGUUAAACACCCUUAGUGGUUAUUAAAACAUUGUCUUGUCUGUGCCGUGGGUGAUCAAUUGGAAAUAGGGGUGUACUCAAGUCAAAUCACUUAUGAAUGUCUCGAACUCGACUCGAUGAUUACUCAAGAUCAACUCGCCUAAUUUCGAGUCCAGCUCGAACUCACUGAUACGAAGUUCGAUAAUCUUCCCAAAUUAAUCAAUCUAGAUCAAGUUUCUAUUUUAACAGUUAAAAAGUACUUUUUAACUACAAAAAAAGGAGCAUAAAGUCUUUAAAAUAACAUGGUUUACCUACACACACAUAUAUUUAUAUCUGUAUAAAUAGGUGGGGAAAAGUACAAAGAAAAAAAAAAUCUUAAACCUACUACACUUGUAUCAAUUCAAUCCUUUUAAUUAUACUAAUAAUAUAAUAUUUUUUUUGACAAUUUGACAAUGUAAUUUUAGUCAAAAAUCGUUGACUAGCAAUCCAUUCAGCGUCAGUCAUCCUACGUGGUCCUACAUCGCAUUAGUCGAUGCUAACGUGGAUAUUUUCUUAAUUUUUUAAUUUUUCCAAACUUUUUUAUUGAUUUAUUUCUUUUCUUUUAUUUUCAUAGGGCUAGCACCACUGACUGAGAUCUAGUGAAGGCUUCGUGACCCUAGCCUAGGGGUCAACAAGGGUCACAGUCCUAUGAAGAAAAAAGAAAAAAAAAUUAAUGAAAAUUUUUAAAAAUUAAAACAUUAUUCAUGUUAGUACCGGCCAUCCAAGUGCCAAGUGACGUCCAUGUCACUAAUUUCCGACUAAAAUUGAUGGGAUAAACUACAUUAACAAAUCAUCAAAACAUUUGACAAAAAAUGUGAAGUAUACGAGAAUUGAAGGGAUUUCUUGUGUUGAUUUCUAUAUGAAUUGUAUACAUUUACAGAGUCCUAUUUAUAAUACAAUGAAUAGGAACAAAAAUGGGAAAAGAAAUAUAAAGGAUGACAUUUCCUAGUUUACCAAACCAAUUACAGAUUGACUAAAUCAAUUAACCCGUAAUUGGAAUCAAUAUCCAAACCAAUAUCUCCAAUCAUUUCUUCAACACUCCCGCUCAAACUGGUGGUCGAUUUAUGUCAAGAACGCUUACUUACUUAAUAAAUGUGAGUGUUGUCUUCGGCUCAAUGGUUUGGUGAGUACUCCUUCUUCGAUCUUUUCUCAAGUAAAGUAAAAAUCAACCUCUAUAUGUUUUGUUCUUCUAUGGAAAUUUGGAUUCGCUGCUAGUUUGAAGACGGCAUCAUUAUCACAUAAUAACUCACUUGGUCCAUCAAUUUUAACUCCAAGGUCUGUGAGUAAUCCUUGUGUACAAACUAUCUCACAAACAGUCUUUGUCAUAACUCGAUAUUUUGAUUCAGCUAACGAUAAUGAAACUGUUGACUAUUUCUUUAUCUUCCAUGAAAUUAACGAUUCCCAAUUUGAUGUAAAAGUCAGUGAUGGAUCUUCCGAUCAUUAGGUAAGAAGCAUAAUCCAUUUCACAAUAGGUUGUCAUCUUAAUAUUACAAUCUUGAGACAAUAAAGUCCGAAGUCCAGGAUAUCCCUUCAAAUACUUUACUACUUUCAGUGCUACAUUCAUAUAAGACUACUUUGGAUUUUGCAUAAAUUGGGAGACUAUGGAAGUUCCAUAUAGAUUUAUUCUUCCAAAUCUCCAUGUAAAAAGGCAUUAUGGACAUCCAUUUGAUGCAACUGUCAAUUGCGAAAAGCAACAUUAGAUAGAAAAGAGCAAAAGUAGUUACCUCUUUUGCAACUAGAGAGAAGGUCUUACAGUAAUCAAGUCUUCUUGUUGCAUAAGUCCUUUAGCAACCACACGGGUCUUGUAUCUUUCAAUGUAACCAUUUACUUUGUAUUUGAUUUUAGAUACCCAUUUGCACCCAAUGGGUUUAUGAUGCGGAGGUAAUGGAAUGAUAUCCCAAGUGUGAUUUUCCAUAAGUGCUUGCAAUUCAGCUUCUAUGGCACCUUGCCAACAUGGAUCAUGUAUUGCCUCUAUGUAAGAGGCUGGUUCUUAUUCUUUAGAGAUACGACCAAUACAACAUGCAUGCUCUGGGGACAAUUGACCAAAGAACCAUACAAGGACACCGGGUAAUGUGUACUUGGAAAAUCCAACGUCAAACAUAUAUAGUCUUUGGUCCAUCUGGAAAGGCAAAUAGAACGUCCAGAGCAUCGAAGUUGUCGAGUGAUUGUCUCUUUAGGAAUUGCGGGAAAAGAUUCAAUGGCAAGAGGUGAUGGAGAUGCCAUUGAUGAAUAAGAUGAAUGAUGCUCCUCAUAAGAUGUUGGUGAUUCAGAUGUUGCGUUUAAUGAAUCAGGAUUGGUUGGCCCAACUAGUCCCAGCGUCAUCAAAAUGUAGGAUCCCUUAAUAAAUCAUCUUCUAACAAGAAAAGCUCGUGACUAGAUGAGGAAGCAAUUGGUUGGGACGAAGACACUAUUGUUUCAAAUGGAAAUACAUCUUCAUGAAAAACAACAUCCCUACUGGCAAAAAAGCACCCCGAAGAUAUUUCCAUAACCUGAUAACCCUUAUCCCAUGAAAAAAUAUGGAAGGGCACAAGGAUCUAUUUUAUCCCCAAGGCCCACAGUUGCAACAUAAGCUAAGCAUCCAACAACUCUUAGAUGAUCAAUCAUAGUUUGCCUUGCACAAAGCAUCUCAAAAGGUGUUUGACCUUCAAGGAUUCGAGUUGGCAUACAAUUAAUUAAAUAGGUUGCCGUAAUCAUAAAAUCACCCCAAAAAAUUUCAAGAAUUGAGGCUUGAUAUUUUAGAGCUUGAGCUACUUUCAAAAGAUGUCAAUGUUUGCGUUCUACAAUCCCAUUUUAUUAAGGAGUGGAGGUGCAUGAGUUUUAAUGGAGUAUCCCUUGAGAGGAUAGAAAGGAAUUGCAUUCACCAAUGAAAAACUCACAGCCAUUAUUGGUACAAAUCUUUUGGACUAUUUUGUCAGACUAAUUCUUAACUAAGGAGAGGAAUUUCGAUAAAUGAGAAAAUGUUUCUUUAUUGCAUAAGAAAAACCCAAGUGGCACAGGUAUAAUCUUCGACAAUAGUUAGGAAGUAUCGAGAUCCAUCACGAUGGGGAGUAUAAAAAGAACCCCAGAUAUCCAUGUGAAUCAAAGAGAAAGGACUUGCAGCUCAAAAUGUACUAAUUGAAAAUGAUGCUCAGGACUGUUUGGCUAAAAAAUAUAUCAGACAUUUUGGGUGUGGAAAGUGAGCACUAUGGCUCAAACGUUGAUGAUUAAUAAGAGUUUUACUGUUAAUGGUGGAAUUACAGGAAACACUCUUAUUUAACAAAUCUAAACACUUUGAAAAAUUUGUCCAAAAAUAAAGUCUUUGUGCAAUACUAUCAAAGCCCAUCAAUUUGUCAGUUGAAUGAUUCUAAAAAAGGCAAUAAUUGGAAUUGAAUAUUGCGCAACAAGAAUUAUCCUCACAGAUUUUCGAGAUAGAAAUGAAAUUGAACUCGAAAUUGAACUCGAAAUUGGGGAUAUAAAGGACAUUUUUUUAGGAUUAUGUGUGGACUAAGAUUGAGUGCCUGCUAGGUUGAUAAUGAGUGUUAUCCAGCAUGAUGAUCAUAUUGGGGAAAGCGAUUUUCAAAAGGAAAAUAAAUUUUACAUAUAUAUAAUGUAGGAUAAGUGAGAAUGAUGACAAAAGAGGUGAUAAAGACAAAAAUCGAAAUGGCUUUCAAUACCUCAAAUCUUUCCGAAUUGAAAUCUCGAGCCUCGAAUUGUCCAUAAAAGAGGAUGGAGUGCAAGCUGGGCUGAUAGUGAAAGUUCACCUACUCAUGUACAUAAAAGAGGAUGGAGUGCAAGCUGGGCUGAUAGUGAAAGUUCACCUACUCAUGUACGAAAAAGAUUAAAUUUUUAAAAGACAGAACUUUCUUAGGCUUCACGCUUAGGAAAAUGAAAUGGUGACAGCACCAUUGCUCUCUAGAGACUCCCACCACAAAUUUUCUCCAAAAAACCGAACAAAUUCCUGAGAAAAUUAUGAAUCCACAGACCAAAUGGAUUCUUUUUAAUUAAAAUAUUAAAAAUUUAAGAAAAUAGAAAAUGUAUAUAGAAACAUCAUCAACAUAAAUAUCUUUAGAUUAGUGUAAAAAAAUAGUUUAAACAUCUUUAUUACAACCUCUCGCUCUGUAUGCAAUCUUAAUAAGUUCUACCUUUUAUUAAUUUUGUUGCCAGUCGGAUAGCGAUUACGGGCUGCUCUACCUUAAACCUUCGCAAUCCUAGUGGGUUAAAUUUUAUGAUUCAGAUCGACCGACGUAGGAGACUUGUGGUAAUCACAAUAUGGAGUAUUUGUGCUAAUCCUUAUUUUCAUCCUUUUAUCCAUAAAAAGAAAAGGAAUAUAUUUUCUCGAGAAAUGUGUUUAAUUACAAUGAGCUUAUCUUGUUAGGUUCAUAUGAACUUACAAUUUGGGUCAAUUAUGUAUGGUCUAAACAAAAGAAAAAGCAAAAAAAAUGGGGAUUAACACAAAUACUCCAUAUUGUGAACAAAAGAAAAGGGAAUAAAAAUGGGAAAUCAAAGAUUGGCUUGUAUUUCAAUUUGUUACAAUACAUAAAUAUUAAUACGAAUAUCUAGAUAUAACUUUUUAGUAAUCUCUUAAAAUUUAAAUAAUGUUUUAGAUUUGAUGAAAAAGUGAAAAAGUUAAUUUUGACUUUUAAUGAAUGUGGACAAACAACUGUAAUAGAAAUUAACAUAUAAGUGAAUUAACAUAACUAGAAUUAAUAUAAAUUGCAUCACCAUCAAAGACACCAACCAUAGAAAAGCACUUCACCUGCCUAUUAAUAUUUCGUGUUCAAAACAGGAGCGUAAUAUUUUUAGAGAUCAUGUGGAACACGCAUUGUUCCAUUAUUGAAUUAAUUAAUGUAGGGUAGAUUUAUAGAAUAUACCUUUAGAUUCCCCAAGUCAAAAAAAUUGAUUUUGACUUUUGAUGAAUGUGGACAACAGUAAUAAAAAUUAACAUAUAAGUCAAUUAACAUAACUUAAAUUAAUAUAAAUUGCAUCAUCAUCAAAGACACCCACCAUCUUUACCCACUUAUUAAUAUUUCAUGUUCAACACGGGAAGUGUGUUGAGAGCUCACAUGAAACAUGCAUUGUUCCAUUAUUGAAUUAAUUAAUGUAGGCAUAUAUUAUAAAAUAUACAUUUAGAUUCCUCCAAGGAAUUUGUGGCCAACAAGUCUCCAUGAAAGAUAAUGGCAACUGUUGGGAUUGCGGUGCCUUGAUUUUGAGCUUAUCACUGGCAAAACCAAGUGGAAAAAAGAAGGUUAGGGAUGGGUUCAACGAGGAUGAUUGUCUCUUUUAUGUGAGGUUUCACAAAUUCUGCAAUUUGUCAUUGAGUUUGUGAGACUUCAUUUCAAAAGUAAUGGAACGAUUGUUGCUUGUCAUUUUUUGCAUGCCUUUUUCAUUUUUUAUUUUAUUUUUUAUUUUACUUUUACUUAUUGCUGCUUCUGGUGGUGGAUAUGUGAUGGUGACUGGGGUGCUCGUGUGGCUAGUGGUAGCAGCUGGUGAAGCCUGGUGGUGGUGGGUUGGGUUUGAGGUUUUUGCUGCACCUGAUACAAGAUGUAAGUGUGCAAUAUGCACAACUUGCACCAAGUAGUGCUGGUGCAAGCUGGUGUAAGACACCUUACACUAGCAACUUAUGCAGCAACAUACCACCAUCAUAGUGGUGGCUGAUGGUGACUCAAGUGGAAGCCUGAGAUGCUUGGUGUGGCUGGUGAUAAUGAUGGCUGGAGGCCGAUGGUGGCCAGUGGUGGGCGAUGGUGGUGGCUAGUAGUAACCGAUGUGUACAAAAAAAAAAUAACACUUAACUGAUCACAUUCUAAAAAACCUAGCACUUAAGUGUUCACUUUUAACAACAAGUGGCACUUAAGUGAUCAUUUUAAUAAUAACUUGACACUUAAAUGACUUUUUUUUUAGCACGACUAGCACUUAAGUGAUCACUAGAUAUAACUUAUAGCACUCGAAUAAUCACUCGUGUCUAUUCUAUGUAUAUAGUGGUUUGCAGCAAAACAUAGAAACUAUUGGUUUAUAUAUUUGCUACCAGUUUAAACAUUUGCUCCUGGUUUACAUUCAAUUCAAGUAAAAUAGUUACCACAACACAUUGACCUAAUAUACAUUCCAUCAUCACCGAUUUAUAUUUGAGAAUAAGCAAAAACAUUGUACAAAUAGUAUUUGUCGAAAUCAUUCAUUCAUUCGUUCAAAACAAGUACAUUUCUCAACACAUUUACAACUAUGGCAGUCGGAGAAACUUCUUCUCAUCUUCCAGUACUUUACAUUUCAUCAUAAAGUAGGAUAGACAAAAAAACAGCAACACCAUAAACGCUUGAUAACACUUCCGUUCAAUUUUCAUUUUUGAAACUUCGUUCUUCAAAUGGUUAAUAGAAGAUGCUUGAGCUUGAGCUUGCAUUGAGUCAACAUCGUCCAAGUUGUCUACAAGCGUAGAUGGAGGUUGAUGACAUCCAUCAAGUAGGUCCAAUAUCACCUCUGUGGCUCGGUGAGAGAAUUUCGCAUCGACCCAUUUGAAGUAUUUGCACUUUGAGCCUUCUCUAUAUCGGGCACAUCCAUAGAAUCUUCUUUCGGGAUUCAUUCGAGUCCACGAUGUUCUUCUUGGACUUGGUAACUCACAAAAAUAGAAACGCACGCCUUCUCUUUUGCUUUGGAGAGAGAAAUUUGAGCCGCUGCUAAAAGUCCUGCUCUCCAUUUCCAAUAUUCGGUAGUAGAAUUUUGGGCAAAUCGAAUUAGGGUGUGGGAUUAGGGCUCCAGCGCUUCAAUGGCAUUUUGCUCGAUUUAGGGUUUUAGAUUUAGGGCAAAUGGGGAGACGACGGUGUUUUCGCUGAUUUAAGAGCUCUAUUUUGGGCCAACACUAGAAACGACGUCGUUUGGGGUGAAUUCGAGCUAACUCAACUCUUCGGCGAGACACAUCGGCGAGAAAUAUUAAUAUUUUAAUGCCACGUAUGAUUUCCGGCCAGCUUCGCCGGAGAUGGCACUCAGGUAUCCCACUUUUCUUAAAAUGUAGCACUUAAGUGUACAUUUCGUAAGUUAUGGCACUUUAGUGUCCCUUUAUGUAAAGGCACUUGAAGCAUUCUUUUGCCCAUGUUUAUUAUCCCUAAUAUUUGUUAGUUGACUGGGUGUUUUGUUAAAUACUUCCGCUUGUAUUUAAUUGAAAGAUAAAAAGAAUGGGUCAGCGAUAAAUCCUAAGAUGUCACAAUUUGAAUUGAUCAUUGAGAGAUGUCUGUGCGCUCGAGGUUCGGCGUGUGACAUAACUCCAUUAGGACAAUCCAAAGGAAGCGAGGUAACUAAAAAAUUAACAAAUAGAGCAAGAAAGGAGAGAGAUAAUUAAUUUAUCACUUCCUUUAAUUUUCUUUAGACUUCUCAUUGUUAGUUUCCUUAGUUUCCCUAGAAAUGAUACACACCUCACUGCACAUCAUCAUACCAAAAGUCAACGAAAAAAUGAACUAGACCAAAUUAGAGGAUAUUGUUCACAUGAUAGGCUUAGUUUUCCUACCAGUUUCCAGAAUUACAAGGUUUUGCAUCUCUAGUACUAUCAAGCAACAGGAAGUAGUCUUAUAAAACAUCAUCGUUUGCAAACUAUCAAACAGCCAGAGAGCAUCUCCAAAAAUUGUGCACGGAAUUUAGAUUCCUCUAUAUAAUGGACAGAAACUAAGAGUCCAAAACUCCAAAUUGCUGCCACUGCUCGGAAAGUUGAGCCCUUAGUUGGAUUAUUCUUUUUUAAGAGUUCACCAGUCCAGCAAAUUGUGGAUGCAGUCUGUCAAGACUUCCACUUAAAUUGCCAUAAAAGCCGACGACAAAUUGGCAGAACCAUGGAUUACAGUAGUGGGAAAAGAAAAACUAACCCAUGAGGUUCAAAUUCAAGCCUUAAAGGAAGUUCUUGUGAAAAGAUUUACAUCCCGAAGUGGCUCCCAUUCCAAAAAUUUUGACAUUACUCAUUUUUUAAGUAUCGAAAAAUUAUUGUACCAAAGUGAGUGCCACACCAAAAUUGUGGCACUCGUGCUGUCAUUUUCCUGAAUUUUUCCUAAAUCAGUAAGGUUUCAAUCAAAUGAACUACAGUCCAAAGUAAUCUGCUAUUAAUCGAGAGGUAACUUAUGCUUCUAGUGCGUCCUUAAUUAUGAUAAUCCCUUCAAUGCUUUGGAAUUAAAAUCACGAAUCAAAUGAUCUAACCAGUCUUGAUGUCUGUGUGUUGCAGCAUAUACAAACUAGGAAAAUCCAAACUAAUUAUUGAUGUCGGUGAGAACAUGAAAUUAUUAAGUGGCUUCAUCACCAACUACCAGCAUAGUAGAAGACAAGAAAUAAAUAAAUAAAUAAAUAAAUAAAAGCAAGGAGCAAAGCACCAUAUAAUGAUCGUCAGCAGAAAGAGAAACACUUACGGCGAUUGUCAGUGGUUAUGCACGAGCAUCAGGAGCCUGAGCAUGAAUUUCACUGGCCUUUCUGCGAACGGAACCAUAUUGUUCUGAAUUCAGAGACUUUAAUAGAUCAUAAAUUGACAUGAAGUUCCAUUAUCUUUGAUCAUUCUUUGCAGGGGAAGUAAUGCCCACUUGAGAUCUCAAUUUCCUUCUGCAAAUGGUCCUCUGAUACAGUGCUGCUGUCGCAUGUUAAAAAGGUAGCGCGAGCAAUCAGCUUCAUCCGAAUGUCUUUGCAAGUAGACAGGAUCGUGGUGAACAUGCCAAGCAAGUGAUGGUGUACAGCGAGACCGCAUGACAGCAUGGUACAGCAUAAGCUGCUAAUCGUGGGUCCGAGAAGUGUUUGUCGGAUUUUGGAUGGUCAGCGGCAAAAGGAGCCAGACUGUGCCUCGUGCACGUUAGUUCGAAUGAGAACAUUUAUGGACAAAACGGUUGAUCAAUAACUAGUUGCAAAAUUGUGUUCCGAGAUUACAUCGGGAUUUCAGCUUGUUAAAUGAGUAUACCAGGCCAAGGACUGGUGUAUGUCAAAAGCACGCACGCGAUCGCAGAAUUGCAAAACUGCGGGACUGAUUUUGUAUUGAAGGAGACACCUGAAAUGCCGAACCAAACGCAGUAUAUCACUCAUCUGUCCCAUGUUUGAAUGCUUGUCUUAUAGUCGGUCAACUUACUUUAUACCGUAUUCGCCGACCGGUUUUAGAACUUCGAACAUUCACCACUUUUCAGAUAUUGACUCAGAAAUGAUUUCAUCGGAUGGACAUUAUCAACUCGAGAAAGGUUCGGGUGCAAUUGAGCUUCCUCAUACACAUGGUCAUUAUAUAGCUGUUAUUAAUUAUCAUAUGGAACUUUAACUUACAACACAGACAUUAUGGAAGAAUCCUACUUCUGCUCGACCUCGGUCCCUCCUAUUUAACUCUCCUCACUGCCUCCACCGCUCCACCACCUUACCGCAGCGCCGAUCACCGCUUUAGAUGUCGACAUUGCAUUCACUGUACUAGCAUAUGACCACCAUCACAGAAUCUCCAGCUGAAACCUUUGACCGGUGGGGAGAAGAAUGGAGGAGCCAUGAUCCUGGUCCAUAUGACAAAAGAGAGAGAUUAUGUCCUCCCUAUUCUUGUUGGUUAAAUAUUUUGAUAACGGGUUUGAGUCGUUUUAUGUCUGAGGCUAACCCUUCAAAUAGGAGGACAAUCGUGUCAUUUCCCUUAUUCUAGUAGGAUUUGGGGUGUGGCAUUAGGAUAAAGAUUGGAGAUGAUAUAAUUUUUGUUGGGAACAUUGAAUCCACCCUCACUUAAAGCAAACUUAAGCCAAUAAGUCUUCCUCAUUUGUACCCUAAAACCACAUUGAUAACAAGAUUACCAUUUGUGUACUUUGAUAUUAUUUGUUGGAAGCACCUAGCAGAUUACUCAGUAGAAAUGCAAUAUCUUCACCGGUAGAAAUAUAUCUAGUUGAAUUCACAUUCACUCAAAAAUUCAAACAAACAAGUUAUGAGCCAACUAGAAUUGUUAACAAAUCCACACCACAUCGAUUAUUCAAUGUAGGACUACUAACACAACUUAACAAUUUCUUCAUCACGUUUAAACUUAAUGUUAGACUUGCUACCCUUAAUUCGGGCAUUUCGCAUCAGCAUGUCUCAACUUUAGUUUUUUUGGGAAAAGUGACAAAAAAGUUCUAAACCUAUUGUAUUUAUGAUAAUUUAGGCCUAAACCUUUUAUUAAUGCCAAUUUAAUUCGAAACAUUUUGACCUAGUAUCAAUUCAGUCUUUCCAACUAAUUUUAGCCAGAUUUUGCUAUUGUUGAUGUCAUUUGAUUUCAUGGUACAAUCUAAGCUAAUGUCGAUAACUUUUAAUGAUAUUUUAAUAUAUUUUGAAUUUUAUUGAUUUUAUCCUUUUUCCUUUUUUUUCAUCUUCUCUUGGAGGAAGAAGAAAGGGAGGGAAAAAAAAAUCGGAGAGAGAGAGAGAUGAAUAGAGGUGAGGGGUGGCGAGGGCACGGUGGUGCGGCUUGUGCGAUUAUCACCAAUUUCACACAUUCCCAUUGCUCUGAAACCGUAACUGGCAAUAUAAACAUACCGACAUUGCCACCGCCACCAUCACAGGUAAUUGCACAGCAAAGAACCAAUAGGGGAGCACCUGAAGCUUAGACUUGGCCAUAUUCGAAGUCACCGACAUGCUCUCCCGAUUGAGCUUAGGCCGGAACAGAGCUAAGGCAAUCAAGAGCUCCAAGUUGAGCUCGCUUCAACUGCGGGCUUGCCAUCCAUGUCACAGCGGCUACUACACAAAGCGAGAAACAGAGUUAUCAGUAACUAGCAAGUAGUGAACGGUAACCAAAGUUAUCAUCUUGCUGGCCAUGACAUGUGAAAUAAUUAGAAAUGAUUGGACCACCACCAUAGAAGGGGAUAUUCGGUCAGGAAUAUUUUAUUGCAUUAUGAUGGUCCCACGAUAUGAUUUGUAAGCACACCCCAUUUGCUAAUUACAUCAUCAUCACCUAUCCAAUUCUUUUAAGUCUUUUAAGAUAUAUAUAUUAUUUAACUAGAGGGCCCAAUAAAUAGACUUCAGUACAUAAAACAUCCCAAAAAGCUUGGGGAGAAGAUAAGACAACAUCUAAGUGCACAAAUUAGAAGCACCUGAGAGACCGCUAGACUCAAAACAAAGGAGUCACAUAGCCCUACCAAAUUACAGCACAUUAUUUUUAUGAUACAGACACAAAAUGAAGUUUCUAUUUCAAGAAUCCUAAAAAUCGUCUUCCCUCACACUAUGCGACCAUGUUACAAACAGAAGUCCACAAACAAAAGGAAGAAAAAUGAACCAGAUUCAAAUAUGAGUCCUCCUGACGAUGAUCGGCGCCCCGUACUGAGGCUGCAAGGUCACAAGAACCAUCGGAGCAUGAACAUACGAGGGCGACACCUCGAAGGCGAAUCGCCUAACCAGCAUGGCCAGAACGACCUUGGCCUCAACCAUGGCUAAGUUCUGGCCUACGCAGGUUCUGGGGCCAAGCCCAAAUCCGAGGAACGCUGCCAGGUGCUUCCGGGGCUUCAUGAAUCUUUCCGGGUUGAACUCAUCCGCGUCUUCGCCCCAUAUCUCAGGGUCGCGAUGCACAGUAGAGAAGGCCAAGUAGAGCUCCGUUUUUGCUGGAAUUUGAAGGUCCCCUAGAUGCACAUCUUUAAGGGUUUGCCUCGUCACCGUCACCGCAGGAGAGUACAGUCUAAGGGUUUCAUUUAAUACCAUCGUUACCUAUUCAAAAAAGGGACAGAAGAAAGAUAUAAGUUUAAGUGAACCCAAAAUGUUUAAUUUUUCAGUCAGACUAAACUUUCAAAACUCAGGCAAAUGGAGUGGUGAAGUAGGUUAUUAGGAAACUUUACGUGAGCCGAACAUCAGUUGAUAGCAGUAAGCACGUUCGAAUAGGGAAUUCAGAGCAUUAGAUUGACCCCGAUUGAAGAAUGAGCUAGCUAGGAUAUAAUUAUAUAAUUGAUCGGGACUGUGCCAACAUGUAUAACAUAACAAAUAUUGGAAGAUAGUCUCCAUGUCAUGUACAAUUUCUUCUAUAGGCAAGUGAGACAAUUCAAACUUCUUGCUUGAAUGUGCACUGAAUUUCUUCAUCACACACGUCAGAUUAUUAAAUUACCACCAUCUCAUCCUCGGAUUGGUCCUAGGAUUCGAUAAUGGAGUUUCAAACCUUUUCUUCCAUCUAAGAAGCUAGCCCAACUUCGACAAACGAUGAUUUUUAUUCAUUAGACAGCAAACAACCAAUGAUGAAAACUAAACGUGCCUGUUUGUAGUAAUGUGACUAGUGAGGAAUAGUGAUCAACUUACAGUCUUGAGCUCGUUCAGAUUUUCAGCAGCCGGAAGCCCGGUUUUCCCGCAAACGCGGAUUACUUCUUCCCGGGCCUUGUCCUGCCAUUCCUGGUGCUUUGCCAGAAGGAGAAGCGCCCAAGUGAGGAGCGUGGCCGUCGUCCCUUUUCCCGCGAAGUAAAAAGUCUUGCAUUCGUCUAUGACUUCCUCCACUCCCAAUCUUUCUCCUUCGUGGGAUGAUGUUAGGAGAGCGAGAAAAUUGGACAAAUUCUCUCUCGAUUUCAAGUUGUUCUCGAUCAGCUUCCGGACCGCUUGCCGGAUUUCCUUCUCUAGUCUCCAUCUCUGCCUGUUCUUCCGAGUCGGUAGGAACCUGUGCAUUGAGUGAAACAAGUGAUCGUCUAAUCUUACAUGGGUAUGAAGACUUUAGGCAGAGCUUGAGAGAGAAUUUAGGACUGCUCUAAAAAGUAAAAAGGUAAUGAUUCGUGAUUAAACAAAAGACACGUCAUUGAAUCGUGACUUUUCCUAGAAAUAGGAUCAAGAAAGACUUUUCCCGGAAAUAAAAACGAUGCAAGAUACGUCCUGAGAUACUAUUUGUACAUAUAUAACAACUCAGAAUGUGAGUAAAUUUGUUUAUUGCCUGAAAUGGAGCAAGUUAAAUUGGACCUGAAGCCAGGAAUGUAAAUGUUCUGGUGGGCUUGAGUGAAGAGGUGCAGCUGCUGCUCCUGCAAGGCGAAUAUGCGCUUGCCCUCUUCGGAGCUGCUCCCGAAAGCAGUCCUCGAGAUGACGUCAGCCGAGAGCCCGUUGAGCUCCUUCAGCACCUCCACCUCGAACUCCUCUCUUCCUCCUCGCAUCUCGUCCCACGUUUCCAGCAUCUUGGCCGCGCUCGCCACGAUCUCCGGGAUCCACCCCUACUCAAAAUGAAAGGAAACUCAUGCUGUGAAGUCCGUCCAGAAGCAGACGUGAUGAAGAAAACCAAUCACAGUGCAAAGACUUCGAAUGAAAAUGUGUGCUUCUUCUUUUUUAUGGGAACCAGAGAGUCUUACAGAUUGCUUGUUAAUAGAACUGGUUACCGUAAGGAUGCGCUGCCCUUACGUUGUGUAUGCUCUUUGGCAAUUUGAAGAACAGUUGAUCUUCGCCAAAUUGCCAGGGACCGUACGGCAAUUUAAAGAACACGAAACUAUCUUCUGCUUGGUUUACUCACCGUCAUUUUCAGAUUGCAUUUGCAUCAUUACCUCUUUUACCACAGAAUGCGCAAUCCCUUGCUCCAGAGCUUCAACUGUCAGAGUUGCAAUGUUAAUUUAAAGCUUUCAUUUUUAAUAUUGAAAACAUAUCCCGACUCUAAACCUGUAAAGGAAACCCAACUCAAGAAGUCGUAGUUUGAGUAAGUUUCCUAAUUUGAGUAAGGUUUCUAAAAGGGUUCCUAUUCUGGGUCAAAAUCUUUUCUAUAUAAGAAGCAGGCCUUCUUCGUGAAUUGCAUGAAAGAGGAGCUUUCAGUGUUCAAGCUAUUAAAUCUUGUGUUAAAGCAAGGAAUUAUGAGGGCUAAAUAUCGUUUGAGUUAUAAAGUGUAAUCGUGGGUUACAAAACACUGUAAGUUUUGAGUGAAUCAAGUGCUUUUAGUAAUUUUUAUUGGAUCGCUUGAUUUAUAAUGGAAUCAUGUAGCGCUCCCCCAUCGAGUAGGUCCCACCAACCGAACCAUCCCGUAGUGGACUCAUCUUUGCAGAUGUCUGUUUGAUCUCCUCGUUGAAAUGGAUGCAACAUGGAUUUUGCUUUAUUUGUGGUACAUGGGGUUGUGUUUGCAAAUCCUUAUGAAGCGGUUAAAGGUGUAGAUAUAAUUGGUGUCUUAAUAAGGUCUAGGGAGUUAGUUGGCUUGGAAGAUUUUUAUGGCGGUCUUGCCCAUCACGGGUUGUGGGAAGAGUAGCGGCAAAGUCCAAAUUCUAACGAAGAGAUUGUCGAGCCAAUGUGGAGAUACUUCCUAGUUGAAUGGUUUUUUUAAGUGGUUUCCUAAUAAGAGUAGAUUUUCUAAAAAGAGCUUCCUUUGUUGGAUCGCCAACUUUUCCAUAUAAGAAGUGGGUCUUCUUCAUGAAUUGCAUCAAAAAAGAGCUUUUUGGAGUUCAUGCCAAUAAAUCUUGUGGUAAAUUUUGUAAAUUUGUUUAUGAGAUUAAAAUAUUAUUUCACGAGAAAUUACAGGGAUUAAACGCCAUGUGAAUUAUUUAGUGCAAUUACGGGUUGGGAAAUAUUGAGAUGUUUGAGUAGUUCAAGUAUGGUUGUACUCUCUAUUGUGUCGCUCAAUCUAUCAUGGAAUGCGGUGCUCUCCUAAUAGACUAGGCCCCACCAAUUGAAUAAUGUAAAUCUAAAAUCCAAUUUAUUUUCUUGUUUUGUUUCUUUUAUUGUUUUAGUGUUUGUUUUUUCGCAACAUUUCAUAUUACUGUGCAGUGUGUUGGGUUGUGUAGGACCAAGAUGUCGUGUUCAUAAAUCAAGUCAAACAAUGACAUGGUAUGUAUGCGAUCACAAUUUGAAAAUUUAUACUACCUCCAAUACUCACCUUAACCCUCUCCAUAGUAAAGGCCUGGUUAGCGAUCCGCCGAUGAACGGCCCACUUCUCCCCCACCAGCCCAAAAAUGCCUUGCCCGAACAGCUCUCGAGCCUGCGGGUUGAACUUGAUCUGGUCAUAUGACCUGCCCGUAUUUGUUAGGACCUCUUUGACCAUGUCCGGGUCCGAGAUGCCCAGCCUAGGCCUCGACCCGAACCAAUAUACAAAAGUCCUCCCAUACUUGAGGGACCAGUCGUAGUAGAAAGGAGCCACCCUGUGGAGGAACCUGUGGUCGAACGGCAUGGGCUUCGACUGAGCCUCCGCGAAUAGGUGGUUGAUCUCUGCCGUGUUGCCAAGGAUCGGACGGUAGCCAGGCCCCCGGACGCCUUGCUUUGUGAAGUGGCGCUGUAGCUUUAGCGGGGUAAAGAGAUUGGAGUAUGUGAAUUUCGAGAGGAGGAUGAGGAUUAGCAAGAGGACUGAAACCAGAAGCCAUG